UUUUUUUUCCUUCAAUUCAUUUUGUCACUAAACUGAAAUGCUCAAUUUGAUCAUUUAUUCAAUUUUCAUGCUUUUACAUUAUUCACGAUUUUAUAAUCAAUACAUAUGAAAUAACACAUCAUGAAAUUCAUAAAAUUAACAAAUAAUCACUAAAAUUUUAUCCAUAUAAACUCACAAGUUCAAUUUUUGUAUCAUAAUGAUAAUCAUAAUUUCAUAAUAAAUAUUCCAAAUAAAUCAUUAUAUCAUUUCUAAUUCAACACUUAUCUAUUAUAAUCGGGCAUGUGAUCAAUUUAUACACGAGUCAUUCAUAUAUAUAUGUAUAUUUUUCCUCCUCCUCUCCAUUCACAUCCUUAGUAUAAACAACACACUUGUAGGUAACAUUAUCCAUAAUUUUCACUAUCUACUUAUGUGAAUAUUCAAGCUGCCCAUCUAUGUCAUAGUCACUAAAUUAUUUUUAUCUUGAGCUAUAGAACUCCAAAUUAAGAUCCAUAAAUUUUCCUAGAAACUAGACUCAUAUGUCUUCUUACCAUAAAAAUUUCAUAAUUUUUGGUUGGGCCAAUUAAUACAUUUUAUUCAUUGAAGUCUCCCUUGUUCUGCUGUCUGACAGUUCCGACCCUUCUUCACUAAAAAUUAAUUAUCUUCUCGUGCAGGAUUCUAAUGAUGUCUUCGCUUGUUUCUCUUGAAAAUAGACUCAUUCAGGAUUCUAAAUAUAUAAAUUUAAUCCCGUAAUUAUUUUUAUCCAAUUUUUUAUGAUUUUACAAAGUCAGAACAGGGGAACCCGAAAUUAUUCUGACCUUGUCUCACAAAAUUCAUCAUAUCUCAUGAUUUACAAUUCCAUUGCUUACAUAUUUUCUUCUAUAAGAAACUAAACUCAAUAAGCUUUAAUUUCAUAUUUUAUUCAUCCUCUAAUUCCAUUUCUACAAUUUUUGGUGAUUUUUCAAAUUUAGACUACUGCUACUGUCCAAAACAGUUUUAGUGCAAAAUGUUGAUUUCUAUUUUGCCCCAAAUUUCACAAUUCAUACAAUUCAGUCCUUGCUCAAUUAACCCCUCAAUUAAGAUAAUUUUCUCAAUUAAUACUUUUCCUAGGCAUUAUAAGUUAUUUCAUAACUAUUGAAAUUCAUAAUUUCUACAUAAAACUCUAACUUCAGACUCUUUUACAAUUAGGUCCCAAACAUUCACUUUCUAUUCAGUUCUUUCAAAAAAUCAGCAUAUAAACAAUUGGAAGCUCUAAUUCCAUGCCAAAUCAUCAUAUACUUCCAGAACAUAUUCAUAGAAACUUUCAAUUUCUUUCAUAGAAUCAAAAACUAAUGAAUUCAAUAAGUGGACCUAGUUGUAAAAGUCAUAAAAACACAAAAAUUUCAAGAAAUAAUCAAGAAUUGAACUUAAUUGAAGCAAAAAUAUGAAAAACCAGCUUAAUGGAACUCUUCCAUGGCAUUUUUUCUGAUGAGAAUGCAAAAAAACAAAGAGAAAUCUAGAUAAUUCCACUUUAGUCCUAGCUUUAUUAAGUAAAUUUUGCAAUUUUCCAAUUUUUCCCUUAAUUCUCCUUAUUUUCUUGCUGAUUUCAUGCUGUUCUCGUCCAUCCCAAAUAGACCUUGGGUCUAUUUGCCUUUUAAACCCUCUUUCUUUUAUCAUUUAAGCUAUUUAAUCAUUUCCCAUAAUUUUGCAUUUGAUACAAUUUAGUCCUUUUUGUUCAAUUAACUAUCAUAACUUUAAAAUUUCUUGAAGAAACUUUAAUACUAACUUAUUAACACUCCAUAAAUAUUUAUAAAAAUAUUUAUGGCUCGAUUUAAAAUUCUUGAGGUCUCGAUACCUCGUUUUGGAUUCUAAUUAUUUUAAUAUUUAUUUUUAGUACACUAUUCACUAUUUCAAAAUUUUUCUUAACUUCACAUUUAACUUAUACUCACUAAAUUAAUAAUAUUUCCUACUCAUUUUCUGGAUUUAGUGAUCUCGAAUCACUGUUCCGACACCACUGAAAAUUAUGCUGUUACAAUGUGGACCAAGGGACACGGCCGUAUGAUUUCUGAAAAAAAUCCCCAAAAUAGUCACACGCCCGUGUGGCACCAAAAUUGGCCGAAACCCUAAUUUCCCAAAUCCACAUGGCCGUCAGGGAAGCCAUGAAACCACCGCAGAACAGCCCCGAAAACACAACUUUAGCCACCAAACCUUCCCCCAACUUUGGUACUAUCAAAACCACAUUAGAAAAUGGAGUAUCGUACUCCCUUUCAGUCUUCAAAGCACUGAAACUAGAGAAUCAAAGGAUUCUCACGAAAAGCCGAAACAACACUUGUAAAAAACAAAAGAUAAGUAGAUUAGUCAAAGUUGAGUCCCACACCUGUUUCAAUGACGAAGAAGACGACAGAGGAGUAGAAAAUCAGGGUCCUUCAACCCCACAACACCACCGAUUCCAAAAAGCAAAAAGACGAACACAAGAACAAAAACCAAGAAGAAAUAGAACAAAAAAUUAAGUGCCAAGUAAAAGCAAAUAAAAAUAAAAAUAAAAAUAAUUAAUAAUAACUCUAAAGACAAAUAAAUAAAAUAAUUAUUUUAACUAAAACCUAAAAUAACUAAAAUGUUUUCUAAAACGCCCACACAGGGACUCGAACUCAGAACCCUGAGACAAACCAACACACUCACAACCACUAGACUAGCAGGCCCAUUCUGCCACUAAACUGCACAACUUAACUUAUGUGUGCAACCUUCCCACUAUCCCUACACUCAAAACCCAGAACUUCUAGACCCAAAAUUCGGGGCGUUACAAAGAAUAUGGAAGAUAAUUUAGGAAUAAAUGGUGUAAAGGAAUAACGUGUAACUGGAGGUGAAAGGCAAUGUCAAUGCGUAAAUGGGUUAGUUGGUAUUGGAUUUGGAUUUUGAUUGGGGUUAAGAUUAGGGAAAAAGUGAGGUUGAUAAUAGGGGUGAAAUAUCAUUGUUGCGUGGCUAAUCAAUGAGAACUUUUUUGUGUUGGCUGAGAAAGAAGUUGCAAUGGCUUAUUGGGCGAUGACCUUUUUUUUUUUCUUUCAUAACAUGUCAUACAUUUCAAGCAUUUGAGAUUUUUAUGCAAAUACUUGUAUAGUUUUUUAUCUAUUCGACAUUGAAAUUCGAUUCUAAAAAAGAUCAACUUUAUAAGGAUUUCUUAAUGGGUAUGGAUCAUUUUAUGUUGGAUAUGAUCUCAAAGCCCCAAGAUUGUCCAAGAAGCCAAUAGCAAAGUUGGCUCAACUUGUGUUUACCUAACCUCUAGCCCAAUAUUAAGGUUAAAUGCAAUAUAUCUAUAAUUACUAUAAAAUCUUUAACUGAGUUAGUAAUUGGUUAAUCAAGGGCCAACUUAGUUGAAAAAACCAAUAUACAUUUUUUUAAUAAAACAUGUAACAAUACAAUUUUUAGUGGUGCUGGAAACUGUGGUUUUGAAACUCCAAUUUUGAUGUUCAAGUUCGUAAAUUUUAAUAAUUAAAUAUUUAAGAGGUUAGUAUUAAAGUCUAUUAAAAUUUGGUCCCUUAAUUUUUUCAAAUUGAUAGUUAAUUAAGGUACAAUGACUAAAUUGUAAAAGUUGUAAAAGUAAAUAGCUAUAGAUUUUUAAUUAAUCAAAGAACCAUUAAGCAAUCGGAUCAUUAAUAUAUUCCCAAACAGUGGUGGAUAUUAUUUGGAACCCAUCAAAUUUGUUAAUUAUGAUUAAAAUUAAUUUAAUUAAGUUUAAUUAAGCUAAUUAGGAUUAAUUAAUUACUAAACUUAGUAUAAAAGAUAAAAUAAAGAAAAAGAUGACAAUUUCUCUCAUUUUCUUCCACAUUUUCAUGAGAAAUAAAUAAUAAUAAAAAAACAUCAGAAAACUUCAAGUAUUCGAUCCUUGAAUUGGUAUGUUAAAUUUAAUAUUUUUUCUUAUAAUUUUUAUAUUUUUGAAGUCGCUGGAGCUUAAUUUAGCUAGCUCAUGUUCAAAUUUUCAAAAAUUUUAAUAUGUUUGAAAGUUUCCAUUGAUGAAUGCUUGAAUAAAUUUGUACUAAAUUGUUAGGUUUUAAGCUUAGAAGUGAAAAAGGACUAGUUUGUAAAGUGAAAAUUGUUAGUUUUGAACAUAGGGACUAAAGUGUAUAGAUUUCGAAAUUGAUAUAAAAUUUCUAUAAUUAUAGAUAUUAGAGGGUCCUAAAAGGAUGUAAUUGAGAUCGAUUUUAAAAUCAAAGCUCAAAUUUGAAAGAUAUUGCAAAUUUAGAUUUAGGGACUAUAUUGAAUAAAAUAAAAAACUUUAAGGGUAUUCAAACAAUAAAAUUAAACUAAUCCAUGCACAAAAUAGAAUACUAUAAACUGUUUGGAAUUGAUAAAUUGAACAAAAUUAUGAUUUAGGUCGGGAAUUAAACCAAAUAAGGGAUAAUUGGGGAAAAAGUAAAAAUUUCUUAUUAGUCCUUGAAGAUUCGGUUGUUUGUUGUGUUGACAAGGUAAGUUCAUAUGGUAUGAUUGUAUUUGAAUUUUUAUAUAUUUGAAUUAUGAAUUUGUGUAUGUUAGACAGUAAUUUGAAUUAUUUGCAAUUUGGUACAAAAUGUGAUAUAUGAAUUAAAUCAUAAAUAAUUGAUAAAUUAAUUGAUAAAUUGAAUAUCAUGAAUUGAAAUUUGAAAUAUUUAAUGAAUUGAUUGUUGAUUACCCUAUUGAUUGUUCAGGCAGAGUCGGAUUUAUUUGAUAGGCCAUAGAAUAGAUGGAGUAUGGGUUGUUUCGAUUAUGUGUCGAUGAAUGUUUCAGACACCUUUUACCUUUGUUAUACUAAUGAGUGUUGGGUGCAAUCUUGUUACUUCAGACCUUUCGACGGGGCAUUAGGUGCCAAAUUUGGUGUGUUGGUUGGAUCAUUGUAUCCGUUCGAGUUUGAGUCAAGUGAAUAGGGAUAUCAAAUGUAAAGUUGAUAAUAGUGUAUCAAUUGAAUUAAUAUUAUGAAAUAAUGCUUAAAAGAAGAGUUAUAAUAUAUGAAUUUCGAUAGUAAAUGAAAGAUUAUGCAAGCCAGAUAUACAAGUCCAGAGGACUGAUAUGAGAACGUGAUGAAUCAAUCGAUUCGAUUUGAAAAAAGAUAUGAAUUUGAUAUUGAAUUGAUUAAAUACUGACUAAUUAUAUGAAUGACAUUGGAAUGUUGAUUAUAAGUGAACUUGAAUGUAAUAUAUUUGAAUUACUAUAUGAUAUGGUUAUAUAUUGAACUCACCUUAUUGAUAUGUGGCUGCCAUGUUUAGGCAAACUUGUUAAGUUAGUAGCUUAUUGUAUUAAAUUGUAAAUUGACGUAAGAUGUUGUUUAAUGCAUAUGAACUUCCUAAGCAUUCGAUAUGCUUAUCCCGUUAUUUUCCUUUGCCUUAUAGAUUGCCAACUUAUGGAAUGUGUCAAACGGAUCAUCGAGAAGCUCAUACUAUCCUGUUAUUGAUUCGGUAGUCUUUCAACUAUUUUAAGCUCGGUUUUGUGGCAUGUAUAUAUGUAACAACCUAUUUUUUGGUGCUACCAAAAAUGGUGGUUUUGAAACCCUAUUUUUUGAUGAUCAAUUCUGUAAAUACAAUUAAUUAGUAUUUACGAGUCUAUUAUAGUAUUUUAUUAAUUUUUGGUUCGAUAAUUUUAUUGAAUGGUUACUAAUUAAGGUACAAGGACUAAAUUGUAAAAUCUACAAAAGUGAAUCGUUGUACAUUUUUAAUAGCUAAAAGGCUUAUUUAGUAUUUGGACAAGGCUUAAAAUGGAAAUUAAGCCAGUUUGGAAUAGCAUGGACGAGUAGUGCAUGUUAAUUUGUAAAUUAUGUGUUAUUAAUAAUGUUAAAUUAAAGUUAAAGGAUAUUAAAACAUAAAACAAAAAGGUAAAUGACCAUUUUUAUCAUCUUUUUCCUCUCUUCUUCAUUGUUCUAGUAUUGAAGAGAAACCAAGGGUUUAGUUCAACUUAAUUCCUUCAUUUGGUAAGCCAAUUUUAGUCUGUUUCUUAUAAAUUUUAUGUUUUUAAAAUCUCGAGAGUUUGAUUUAGCUAACCUGAGGAUUAGAUCGUAAAUCUGUUAAAGUUUUAAAAGUUACAAUUGUUGAAUCUUGAAGCUUUUGGUACUAAAUUGAUAGAUUUUAAGCUUAGAAAUGAAAAAAAAGACUAAUUAGUAAAGUGGAACUUGUUAAAUUUGAACUUAGGGACUAAAGCCUGAAUAUUUUUAAAUUAAUAUGAAAUUAAUGUAAUUAUUGUAAUAUAGGGCUGUAGAAGGAUGGAAUUGAGAUUAGUUUCAAAAUCGAAGCUUAAAUUUGAAAGUUAUAAUAAUUUUGGUUUUAGAGACUAAAUUGAAUAAGAUACAAAACUUGAGGAAAAUUUUUAAAAUGAAAAUUAAAUUGUCUUAUGCAUGAAAUGAUUGAAAUGAAUUACUGUAUAGAUCAAGAUUUGAAUCAACUGGAAGUUAAUCGAGGAAAAAAUAAAAUUACGGAUUAGUCCCCAACAUUGCAUUUAUGGUCGUUUUGGUCUGGUAAGUUCAUUUUGUAUACUUAUUGACUGCCUCCGGACAUACCAAUGUCCAGAGUGUGAAUAUUGCAACUAAAAGAUAUGUAAUUGAGGCGGUGUCCACAAAUAUAAAGGUUAGAUUGUAAUAUAGUUACAACGAAGCAGGUAAGUACUCUAAGGAUUGUACUCAAGGGAGAUAAGUACUAAAUUAAUGUAAUCCUAAACUCAAAUAGAAGUAAUUAUUAGUUUAAAUAAAUUAUAGUACGAUAAAACAUGAAAUAAUUUUUUUGGGGUUUUUAUAAAGAAUGAAAUAAAAAUAAAAAAAGGAAAGUGAACUUUGGAAGUAUGAAUUCUAACUUAAUCAAAUCUAAGUAUGGGUGAUUAGCUCACUUUGGUGUUCAUAACUAAUUCCUAUUUUGGGUUUCUUCUCAAUUAACUAGUCACUACCCUUGCAGGAUCUCUCGAUCUUCCACUAAACUGACGAGUCGGUAAGAACUACUUAUAUCUUGACCUCACAGUCUAGAUUGGUUCAGGCCUAAUAUGUUCAUGGAUAGGCCAUACCAAUUUUGGGUUAAUUCCCAUGAAAAUGACUUAUUAAGAUUGUCAAGCCUAAGGUUUAAGUUCUUCCUCUCCCAAACAAUUGAUUUAUUAAGAAAACCCUACAUAGCAAUUAAUAAAUCACACAUCUGCUCAUGAUCCUCCAUAAAAGGAUUAGUUCCUUAUGAAUCUCAUGAACACGAUAAUCUUGUUAAUAAAUGUAAGAAUAAAUAAUAAAUCAAGAUAAAUGUUUAAGAGAAUCCUGAAUUAUAUUGAUUGAAGAGCAAAAUCCACUGUAGUUUUAUCAUAGUUACAACUCACGUUCUCUGAUGAACACGAAAUAGAAAAGAACUGAAAUAAACCUAAAGCCUAAAAGAAAAACCUAAAAUGUAAAAAUUGUCUCUAAAAAAGUGUUUUAAGAGCGUAUUUAUAGAAUUAGGGUUGUUCUCGUCCUUAACCCUAGGUAAGCUGAUGUUCUCAUGUUUUAAUUUCCAUUGUAUAGACCAAAACGCCCCUAGUUCGUAAGUGCUUCCCAUAUAGGACUGAUGUCGUGGCACCUUAGUCCUUGUGUUGCGACAUCAAAGGUAGUAAGCAUGGUUCAGGGGUGUGUCGCGACAUCCCUUGGUUAUGUCACGGCACCCAAGGCAGUAUAACAAUCUUGACAUUAUGCUCCUUAUGUUGUGACAUCAAAUUCCAUGUGCUACAACAUAACGGUCAACUUUGAGUUCCUAUUGUAACACCCCUAACCUGUAUCCGUCGUCGGAACAGGGUUUAGGAACAUUACCAGAACAUUCAGAAACAUUUACAAAUAGCUCAUGAAAGCUACUAUUCAUUUGCCGAGAUCAUUCAUAACAUCCCUUGAUUAAGACCUCGAGGCCCAAAACAAGCAUUAGAUCAAGUCGGGACUUAAUCGGGACCUCUAAGAAUUUUUCACGAAAUUAUAAAUUUUUCCAAGGUGCAGGGCCAACACGCCCGUGUAACCCUGGGACACGCCUGUGUUGGAGGCCGUGCUCGACCCCGUGAAACUCUCUGACUUGCACACACGACCAUGCCACACGCCCGUGUGCUAGGCCGUAUGGUUAAUUAAUUUAAUUUGAUAUUAGGUGCAAGUUUUACACAGCCAAGACACACGCCCGUGUUCUAUGCCGUGUGGCACACACGGCUGAGACAUAUGCCCGUGUCUUUUACCGUGUGCUCAAUUCUGAGCAUUCUGUUUCUCAAAAUUAAGCUGAAGGGGACGUACGGCCUAACCACAUGCCCAUGUUACCAGGCCGUGUGUUUUACACGGUCUAGACACACGCCGGUGUGUCUGCCCAUGUGGACAAAAUGAAGCCAUUUCUAGCUUAAUUUCUCACCUAAAAUUUCACCUAAGACCUGCACUUGAAACACACAUCUAAUACCAACCAAUUCAAGCAUUCAACUUAAGCAAAUUUCAUCAUUCACAAGGCAUAUCACUACAAGCAUAUAUGAUCACAACCUUACCUUAGUUUAACUUAGGCAUUCACAACAUUGGUUCACAUAUACUCAACUUAACACAUGUGUAUAUAUAUCAUAAUAACCUACUUAAUCAUACCAAAAUAAGUCAUUACUAGCCAUUCCAAUAGCUAGGUUACAAAAUAACAUUUCAAGCCACUAUUGGCCAAGUUGUCCUAUACAUGCCAUUAUAUGGAAAUGAUUUUUACUAAUUAUACCCAAAAGGACUAGUUGAUAAUGUGACGAUACUCCAGUGAUCUCCAACCCUCGCGAGCUUCCGAGCACUAUAAAAUAGGGGAAAAUAAAAGGGAGUAAGCAUUACAUGGUUAAUAAGUUCAUAUAAUAGAAACUAAACUUACCAAUCCCGUUUAUUAAAUCUACGCAUACAAUAACAAGUUUUCCAUCCAUUUGGCUAAGUUGCCUAAACACAUGCAUUCAAUCAAACAUGUUAGUCAUAAAGUUUCCAUAUACAUCAAGGAAGAAUAGAUGAGUUUAUCAUGCAAUACACUUUCGAGACAUUAUCAUUUCAUCUUAUAAUUCUCAUGCCAUGUCAAGAGUUUUAUGUCCAUUGAAUCAUUGAAUUUCGAUGGAGGCUCAAGUAGUACACUCGAAGUGUACGGUUCAAUAAUCCAUCAAUUUCUUAUUCAAGGGUACCCAUUAGGGCACUUAACCAAGAAAAACUCUCCCGAACCACAUAUCGUAUAAUAAGAUUACCAGUCUAGGCUAGAUCCUUUAUAUAACGUGAGCUCAGAGGAGCUUGAUUAGGAUUACCAGUCCAGGCUAAACCCUAAUCAUAACAUAUACUCGAGAGAUAUUAUAUCGGGAUUACCCGUUCGGGCUAAAACCAUUUUAUAAUGAGGUCAAUAGGAUUACUCGUCUGAGCUAAAUCCCGUCCGCAACAAAUGCAGGACCUCAUCCAUUUCGAGAAAGCACAUAUAUUCAUCAGAAUUCAAUAUUCAAUCGGAACUUAGCCCUUUUUCACCAUUUCAAGCAUGUAUUAAAUUGUCCAUUAUAACAUUUAAGUAAUGCAAUCCAAUAUAAGUCACAUUUCAUACAAGCAUAACAUUCAAUUAACAUAAUUACAUACUCGAUUAAGUUACACGAACUUACCUCGACAUUUGUUCGCGUAAAAGUCUACUAAUCCGAAACCUUUUUUUCUCGAUCAAACCUCGAAUUACUAUUGUCCGGAUCUAUAUAAAUAAAUUUAACCAUAAAUUUCACACAUUUCAUAUUUAAAUGGACUCAAUUUAAGUCCUAAGCAAAAUUACCAUUUUGCCCCUAACUUUUUUCAUAAAUUUUGAUUUUGUCUCUAGGCCCGGAAAAUAAAACUUGUGAAAACUACUCCUUAUUCCAAGCCUAACCAAAGCCCCAUUACAAAUUUUACAGCACAUAUAUUCAUAAAAUUUUAGAAUUUUUCAUCAAAUUUUACAACUUUUCAUUUUAGUCCCUAAAUCAUGUUUUCAUCAAAAAUCACUUUGUAAAAGUUGUUUAUCUAUCAAUAAUCUUUUAUUUUCUACCAUGAAUUUCUAACUUCCAGCAUAUACAUCCAUGACCCAUUUUCAUACCUUGAUAACUUUUCAAAUUAAUCCCUCAAUAGAGAGAUUAACUAUCUUAGUUUCAAAAAAACCAAAAUUACUUAAAACGGGACAAGAGAACUUACCCAAUUAAGCCUUGAAAGUUUCUCCUCUCUCUCCUAGGGUUUCCAUAGGAUUUUAGGUUGAAGAUGACAAUAAUAAGAUGAUAUUUUCUUUUAUCAUCUUUUAAUUAAUUUAAUUAUUUGAAAUUCCAAUUUUGUCCUUGACCUUUUCUAAUUUUUCCAUGGAUGAGUCACCAAGAAUCUACAUAAGGACCUCUAAAUUUGAAUUUCAUAGCUAUUUAAUCAUUAUAGCUACUAGAAUUCAACUUUCACAUUUUAUGUGAUUUAGUCCUUCUCGUAAUUAAACUCUUAAUCGAUAAAAUUUUCAUAAUUUUCACACGACAUGCCUAUUAUAAUACGGACCAUAUAAUGAAAUAAAAAUAAAUCAUAUUUUCGGAUCGGAUCUGUGGUCCCAAAACCACUAUUCCGAUUUCACUAAAAAAUGGGUUGUUACACUUAUGCCUUUGAAUGGUCUCCUACACACUUACUAAGUUCGUUACCAAAUGAGUUUACCAAAGCAUCUUAGGGGUGCACACUUAACGGAAGAGUCCGCCAAACCACAGAUCUUUACCAAGCUAAAAGUUUACCAAAUGGCGCAUACAAAAAAAUUAUAUACUUAAUCAGAAAAAACACUUUACUUACUCAUCUCUACACUUAAUUCACCAAAGCACUUUAAACAACAAUCAUAUACCGAGACUUUGUUGGGUGGGUUGUUACAUGAAUGAUCUUGAGAAUGGUUAUAUGGAUGCCUUGUUAUAUGUUUUGGAAUGCUUUUGUACAAGUUCAAGUGUGCAGUUAUGCACCAAAUAGGCUAUUUGUUUGGUUUGACACAAAAUAGAUAUCAAAGGGCCAAAAUAUUGCCAAAAUUAGGUUCCUUAUCACAACGUCGGCCAACUGCUUGUGACGUCCUGACGUCAAGUGGUCGUCAUCCGAUGUUGUGAUGUAACAUACUGUUUGGUGACGUCCUAACGUGAGAAAGACUCAUCACGACAUUGGCUCUAUACUUUUUAAACAUUGCAAUUUCAGUCUUGUUCAACCUUGGUCGAAUUAAGAGCUUUAAUCUCGAUUGAGACUCGAUUUUAAUGAUAAAUCAUAUUAUGCAUGGAUCUUUGACGGAAACUUAGUGUUUAAAUGAAUUUUGAACUAUAUAUUGCAUGUGACUGCUCUGGUAAUAGUAGUAGCAUCCUGUAGCUCGAGCCCGGUGAACGGGUUGAGCGAUGGGUGUAACACCCCUAACCCGUAUCCAUUGCUGGACUAGGGUUGAAGGCAUUACUAAAAAAAUCGAAACAUUCUACAAGCAAUUCAAUAACAUCAUCCACAAACUUAGUCAAACAUCAUUAUAGAGCCCCUUAUAUAGGUCAACGAGACCUAAAACAUGCUUUAGAAAGGGGUCAAGACUAAACCGAGCUCAUACAAAAUUUUUCAAAACUUAAACAUUUAUUAAAGUCAUACAGGUUACAUGCCCGUGUGUCUAGGCCGUGUCGAAACAGGGCAUACAUAUUGCUUUUUUAUAGGACCACAAGACAUGCCCGUUUGCUUUAGCCGUGGUCGAAACUAACUUGGGUCACACGAGUAGCCACACGUCCAUGUACCAUGCUGUGCUCGAGACUGACUUUAAAUUGUAGGACUACCCCAGGGGACACACGGUCGUGUAACAUGACCGUGUGUCAUACACAGCUGAAACACACGUCCGUGUCUCUGCCCGUUUGGACAAAAAUAGGCCAUUUGAAAAGCCAAUUUGCCACCCAAUUUGGGUCAUACCUACAAGCAUAAAACCAAACACAUUUGCACUAUAAUUUCAGCCAACUUCAAACCCAAAUCAUGCAUCUUCCAUGCCAUUUCAUUAUCAACAAUUUCCACACCUGUAACACAUACCAAAACAUAUCAUUCUAUAAGUAAGAAUCAUAACAAAACAUAUGGUUUAUAAACCUUAAUAUACUCAUUCAAUUUCAUACCAAAUUCUUACCAAUCUUACCAUUUCUAUUGGCCAUUCAUGAACACAUCAAACAUACAACCAUUGCAUCACAUAUCAUAUACCAAAAAUCAUACAUAUACACCACCAAAACCAAGCCAAACCACAUGGCUAGAUAUAUACACUUCACAAAACAUAUCCAAAAACUUCUAGCCUAUACAUGCUAUACUUUAAUAUAUACAUUUUCAAAAGGUACCAAAUAUAGUUCGAUAGUGUGGUGACGAUCCUCGACGAUCCCCAAGCUCCCGAUAGCUACGAUAUCUAUAAAAUAAUGCAAAUACAGACAAAGUAAGCUUUCAAAAACUUAGUAAGCCAUAUACAAAUAAACUUAACACUUUAAACAUAAAAACAUCAUCAAAUUACAUAUACUUCAUAGCCAAAUACUAUCACAAACCUCAAUGUUCAUAUACAUCUCACAUAUUCCAAAUUCUGUAGCACAUAUAGCCUAUUUUCUCAUGCUUUUAUCACAUAUCAACAUUUGUUCACUAGAGUACAUAUACUUACCUUUCAACAUGAAAAAUGAUACUAAUUUUGAACGUACCUGAAUUGGAUAAAUGUUCACAUGAUAAUUCAUUAUCUCGGAAUGGCCGUUGAACCGUUCGGAAUCAUAAGGAUAUGCGGAUAGCUCAGAAAGCUUGUACAAUGCCAAUGUCCCAGAUGUGGGCUUACAUGUAAUCAAAUAUCGAUGCCACUGUCCCAGACAGGGUCUUACAUGAAAUCAAAUACGAUGCCAACGUCCCAGACGUGGUAUUACACGUAAAUCAUAAGUCGAUGCCAACGCCCCAGACAUGGUCUUACACAAAAACACAUAUCGGAUCCUAUGUCAUGACAUAUGUAUCCUAACUAUUCCUAAGGUUCGUACGGGGCUUUUCGGACGUCGAAACUUUGUCGAUAUUUUCUCGGAUAUCUCAUAUUCAAAGCAUAAAGCCAUUCAUUAUUCAUCAAUAACAUAUAAGAAUAAAUAAAUAAUUUCAAAUACAUUUAUUUGUAUAUAGACUUACCUCGUAUGGAUUUGGAUAGACAGAAUCGGCUACUCGACGACUUUCGACUUUCCUCGAUCUAAUUCUGUUUUCUUUAAUUCUUGAUCAAUAUAAAUUCAAAUUUAAAUAUUUUAUUCAUUAAAGCAUUCAGAUCAAUCCACAAACACAUAUUUAGGGAAUUUUAAAAAUUAGCCCUCACAUUGUACAUUUUGACAAUUUAGUCCCUAAUCACAAAAAUCACAAAAUACACAAAAUUUCUUUGCACACAUGCCUAACCGAAUUCUUAUAGUACUCAUACAAGUCCACACAUUUCAUUUAUUUUACAUUUUAGUCCCUCAAAAACUCAUUUUCAUAAUUGAGUCCAUUUUACUGAAAUUCAUCAAAAAUUCAAAGACAAAAUAUACUAACCCAAAACAUAUAUUUCAUUUUCCAUCAACUAACUUCACAAAGCUUACAAAAUCAACAACGAAAUAACUCAAAAUCAUCAUCAAAAUCAGAAAUUGAGACAUGGGCUUGAUAGUAUACAAAACAACGAUUACAAAAACGUAGAAAUUAUCAAAAACCAAUAAAAAACAUACUUUAAUCAAAGAUUAAAAGUGCCGAACCCUAGCUAACUCUUUUUCUUUCUUUUUUUCUUCAAUUUUCGGCAUAAACAAACAUAUAAUGGCCUAUUUUCUUAUUUUGUUUUAUUAAUAUAACUUAAAUUACUAAAUUCCAAUUCUGCCCUUGAUUAAUAACAUAUAAAAACAUUAACAUAUAAGGCCAUUUUAGUCCACUUUCAAUAUAAAUGGCAUAUUAACAACAUAAGGACCUCAUAAUCAAUAAGCCAUAUCAAGUAGACACUUUUAACAAAUAGCAAGCCACUUUUACAUUUUACGUGAUUAGGUCCUUUAUUAAAUCCGACACACAAUUGAUCAAAUUUUCAUAUGAAACUUUCACACAUGUCAAUUCACAUACUUUAAGCACAUAAAAUAAUAUUUAAAUAUUUUUUCUAACUCAAAUUUUUGGUCCUGAAACCACUAUUCCGACUAGGGUCUAAACCAGAUUGUUACAAUGGAUGUUAAUGUAACACUUCUAACCUGUAUCCGUUGCCGGGAUAGGGUUAUGAGGCAUUACCGAUCAAAGCACAACAUAUAAUAUACAUUUCUCAUACAUGAUUCAAUUUCACAUAAAUAUCAAUCUAACAUAUUCACAUUUUCCCUUAUAAGGCUAUACGAGACCUUAAAACAUGCUUAGAAGAGGUUCAGGACUAAGCUGAUAACAUUUGCAAACUUCGGGAAACAUAGAAAAAUUUUCUUGCAUUUAAGGGUCACAUGCCCGUGUGAACAGGCCGUGUGCCUCACACAGCCGCUAGGCACGCCCGUGUCACAGGCCGUGUGAAAAUAGGGCAUACAUACUAACUUGCACCACACGACCGAGGACACGCCUGUGUGCCAUGGCCGUGGGAAAAAUGGAGAGGUUACUGACUUGGGUCACAUGGCCGGCCACACGCCCAUGUGCCACUCACGGCCAGUAGACACGCCCGUGUGUCUAAGUCGUGUAACUCACUGACUUGUUUUAAUUAAGCAUCAGGGGUCACAUGGUUGAGUCACAUGCACGUGUGCUCAACCGUGUGGCACGAAAAUAGGCUUGUUAUAAGCUACUUUUUCCCACUUAAGUCACAUGCAUCCUAAGGCAUCCAAAUGGUACCAAAUAUACAACCAAAUAAGCAACCGAAUGUGACCAUUUCCAGCAUAAAUCAUAUCAUAUUGAAUCAUUACAUUUCACUUCUCAUGUCUCAACCAUUUCUUAAUCAAAACACAUACCAAAACUAGCAUGAAUCAUUAAUAAGCCAUUUCAAAUGACCAUAUACAUUUCUAACAACCAUAUCAAACAGAUCAUAGCCUAUACCUGCCAUAUAACCAAGCCCCAAAGUAUAAAAAUACCAAAAAUCAAUAGCCGGAUAGUGUGAUGCAAUCUCUAUUGACUUCUAACCCGAGCGAACGUUCGAACCACUAUAAACCAUAGAAAAAUAACACAAAAUAAGCUUCACAGCUUAGUAAGUUCGUAUGUUAAUCUAAAAUGAUCACAGCAUUCAUAUAUCAAUUCGAAAUAGAUAAAUUAUUGCCAUUUAAAGCAACAAUUCAUGAGCUAACAUCAAAUUAUUCAUGUCCUCAUUCACGAGUUCUCAACUGCAAAUAACUCGAUACUUGAGUAGUUUUCCGUAAAUACCUAUACUGAUACCAUUCUGUUUAUCACCCAUACUCUUAUCAAACCUCUCUGGUUUAUAAGUGCUUAUGAUACAAAUUCAUCGAUUUUUCGAUGCCAUAGACCAACAAUGGUCAUAUACAUACAUUGCUAAGGCCCUACCGUGGUUUCUCUUUCACGUGCCAUAUGUAUAUUUAGUUAGAACAACUAUAACUCAUAUCUCACAUAUCAUUCAAUUUAUACUUCGUUAUAGCCAAAUAAACACAUUUUGACAUGAAACAUACUUAUACACAAUUCUUUCUUAUUUAAUAUACAUGAUACAAUAUGAACUCGCCAAUUUACUUUCAUUCGAUUCUCACGUAGGUUCUAUACGUACUUGUAUUACUUAUUUCCAUCGUACUUUCAUUGUCGUCUUGACUAUUUCAGAUAUCACAUAAAGCUCAUACAAUGCCAUAUCCCAGAUGUGGUCUUACAUAUUAUAUCAUAUUGAUGCCAAUGUCCCAGACAUGGUCUUACACAAAAUCAUAUAACGAUGCCAAUGUCCUAGACAUGAUCUUACAUGUAAUCACAAUAAAAUGCCAAUGUCCCAAACAUGGUCUUACAUGUAAUCUCAUCUCGGAAAUCAUAAUGUGAUGACAUUUGUAUCUUAUACUAUUCCUAAGGUUCAUACGGGACUUUCGGACGUCGUAUCUCUGUCGUUUCCGGCUCAUAAUCAUGACCAUUCAGCAUUCAAUUCAAUUCAAUUCAAUUCAAUAAUAAAUAUGCAUUUGUAACAAAACUUAAUUACCUUUAUUAGCAUACGAACUUACCUUGUUUGCUAUAACGACGAAUUAGGUCGACUAAUCCAAUACUUUAUUUUCCCCCGUUCUAGAUCCGAAUCUCAUUUUUCUCAAUCUAUAUAAUAACAAAAUUUAUUUAUUUAAUCAUUAAUUCAUUCAAUUUAACACAAUUUACACAUUUUGGUAAAAUUACACUUUUGCCUUAUUAUUUCACAUUUUUGCAAUUUAGUCCGUAUCACAUAAAAUUGCAAAUUCAUACAAUUAAGGAUAAGCCCAUGCUAGAAGAAUUCUAUAUGGGUCCCUAGCAGCCCAUAAUUAGUAAUCAUUCACACAUUUGACCACACAAUUUUCACAUUUAUCAAUUUAAUCCAAAAUUGACAUUUUUACUAAAAAUCACUUUACAAAACAUGUAAAACUAUCAUCAAAAUUUCAUAUUUCAUCAUCAAACAUCAAUUAACACAUGUAUUCAACAAUGGAAACUAUCAAAAUCUUUAAAAAUUUUGAAAUCAGAGGUACGGGCUAGCUAGAUUACGAAGCAACGAUCUAAAAAACGUAGAAAUUAUUAAAAACCGAGCAAAAACCACUCACCCAUUAAUCUUAAAAGCUUGGCGGAAUAUAACUUCAUCCAUAGCUAUUUUUCUUCAUGCAUUUUCGAUGGUGGAAACUAAAUGGUGAAGAUGACACCAUGUUUUUAUUAUUUAACUAAAUUUAUUUCAUAAUUACCAUUAUAACCUUAUUAAUUAACCUUGUAAUUUUCAUUAAUAAAGCACAUAACUAAAUUUAUUUCAUAAUUACCAUUCAUAAUUCCAAUCGGUUAAUUACCACCUAAAACCCUCAAAUUUGAAAUUUCAUAACUAUUUAAUGCUUUUAGCUUAUAGAAUUCAACUUUUACACCUUACGCGAUUUAGUCCUUUUUACCGAAUUAAGCCUUUAAACGGUAAAAUUUAUUUAUAAAAUUUUUACAUAAUAAUUCUACCAUACUGUAAACCAUAAUAAAAUAUUAAAAUAAAUAUUUUAACUUCGGAUUUGUGGUCCUGAAACCACUGUUUUGAUUAACCCUAAAAACAGACUGUUACAGUUAAAAUAUAGAUGUUUUGUAUUCGGUUAACUUUGAAUAAUAGCAUAGAUGAAAAUCUAUUUUAUGUAUGAUUUUUCCUAAUAGUAAUUAUUUUUCAGAAGAUAUGUUUUUAGUACAUGGUUUGAGUUGUGAUUAUGAUAUUUGAAAUGGUAAUAUUGGAUGUGAAUUGAUAAUGAUAAAGAUGGUAAAUGGUUAAUGGUUGAUAUGUAUACUUUGAUAAAGGAAUUAUAUGUUUAUAGGCCAUGUAGAUGUUAUAAGUUGACAUGUUUGGGUAUGAAAUUGAAGUAACUUUGUGCAGGUAAAAUUGUGUAUUGUGCACCUAAUGAAUGAAUUUUAAUGUAAUCACGAAGUAGAUUCCAAAUGGCCUAAUUAGUACCAAAAACAGAGUCUACUUCGCGACAUCAAGUGAUGGUCGUCGCGACAAGCUCUAAACUUUAGGUCACAGUGUGAUGAGAAAUCUCGUCAUCACAACGAGCCCAUGUCAGCAUCUUAUGUCGCAAUGUCUUCAUCGCGACGUCGACCCAAAAUUUUGAAUCUUUUACAAAUUGGCCUUUACUUGAUCUUGGGCCAACUUUAGUGUAUGUAGGCUUGUAUAAGACCCCGAAAAGAUUAUAUAUCAUGUCUAUGGUUUGAAAUGUUUAUGUUUGCAUGUAUUAUGCCUUGAUUUGAAUGUUAAAUGUUUGUAGUUGCUCCAAUAAUGAAUGAGGCAUCCUAUAGUUCGAAUCCGAUGAUUGGGUCGCGUAAGGGGUGUUACAAAACAACUAAAAAUCAUAUAUCUAAGAAUUGAACACAUGUUUAAUAAAUUCUAUAAUGCAAUUUUUUACCACUUCACCUAUUAUCAUUGUUGAAUUUUUUUUUUCAAAAAAUUUACAUAAAAUGUUUUAUUUUACUCACAUCAUGAGUGUGACAUAAUGUAAUAUAAUCUAUGCUAUUAAUUAAACCCCUAAUUGAGUUGGUGUCACGGGUUAACCAAGUCACCAACUCAACUAGAAAAUGACUAAUAUACACUUUCAUUAAAUGGCUAAUAUUAUUAUUUUGAUAAUUUUUUUUGCCUUAUCAUAUUUUUAUAUGGUUUUUAAGUAAAAGAACUAAAAUUAACAUAUCUAGGGAUUAAACCCAUGUUUAAUGGAUUAUCCAACAAAUUUUUUACCACCGCACCAACAUUAAUUCUUAAGUAAACUUUUUUUUUUAAAAAAAAGAACUUUUAACAUAAAAUGUUUUCUUUCACAACAUUUGUGUAUAUAAAUAAUGUUACUGGUUGCGUUGGGGUCACAAGUUAAACUCGAUAUUUAAUUUUUUUUAAAUAAUUAAAUUUUUUCACUAACUUGAUAAUGUUUUGACGUGCUAUAGAAAAAUGACAAUAUCAUGAUAAAUAAUUGGAGCGCAUUUAAUAGUUUAAAUAUAAUGUAUUUACCUAUUUCAAUUUUCUUUUACUCACAAGUUUAAUUAUUUUUUAUUUUACAUAUUGCAUGUGUUAUUAUUAUUAGUUUCAAACCUUACAUUUCACUAUUUAUUAUUUGUUGUGUUUAAAUACACAUUUGUGUUUUAAAUAUGUGGUUUCCACACGCAUUUACGUGUGAUAGGAUUUCUAAUUUAUAUAACUUUUACAUAUUUAUAUAUAAAUGUGACAUAAUAAUAACAUAAGAUUUUUAAAUAUACUUAAUUGUUGCUUUUUGAAGUAUAGCUUUUGCUUAGAGAUUAAGAAUAAUAAAUCUAUUGUUGAAUUCCUUUUUAAGCUAAAUGUUCAAAUUGGGGCUCAACCUUUUAGAGGCUACUCACAUAUGAAUUAGACCUUUCAAAAUGGUCGAGUAAUGGGCUAACCUUUUUGAAAUUGCUCAAAUAGGGGCUUCUCAAAUGUCGUAUAUUAGGUUCUAAAUUAUGUUCCGACUUCUUUCAUUUCUUUUCAAGCAAUAUUUGAUUGAAAUGUUAUGUGUUUUAUUCUAAACACAUUAGCAUUUAUCUAAUUUUUCUACAAAUUAGGUUGAAGCAUGCAUAAAGUCCUUGUUUGAGUGUUUCUAUAACGGUAAAGGUUCCAUUAUUUGACCAUUUUAAAAGGUUUAUCUCUUAUGUGAGUAACUUUUUACCCUUCCAUUUAUAUGUUUAUGUCAAUUGUUAGAGUAUAUUAUACUUAUAUCUCAAAGGUAUUAUUUUCUUGUUAGAGUAUAUUGUACUUAUAUCAUAAAGGUAUUAUUCUCUUGGUAUCAUCUUUGUUCAAAUGAUUGUUAUAUCCAAUGCUUUUUAAACUGGACCGGUGAUCGAACUAGUUAGCCUAUUAGUUCGUCGGUCCAAUCGAUUUGAUUAAAAAUUAUUAAAAAUUCUAAACAAUUAAAAAUUUUGGUUUAAUCAUCGGUUUGAUCAAUUUUUUAGUCGGUUUAUAUUGGUUGACGAUCUAGCCGGUUCAAAGCCACUCUCUAGAUUGACUCUCAACUGAUUCUCGAUCGAACUACCGAUUUGAUCUGAGUUAAACAACACUGAUUAUAUCCUAAACAUGGUGAGUUGAAUCCUAUAACUAGGGGUGAGCAAAAGUCGAGUCAAUUAAAAAAAUCGAAUUUCGAGUUAAUUGAAUCUAGUUGUUCGAGUUAAUUGAGUCAACUCGAAUAAGUAAUUCAAGUUUCGAGUUCUAGUCGAGUUGAAUUUUACAAUUCAAAUAACAGAUUGGUGUAAAUACCCCUUUAGUCCCUGUCAAUUUUGAAAAUGAGCAAAUUGAUCUCUCUUUUAACAAAAAUUAUAAAGCUUCAAAAUAAUUUUAAAAAAAUUCAAAAUAUUUGUAAAAAUUCAAAAAUUUAUAUUUCUUAAUAAGAUUAUAAAAUUUUUAGAUUUCUAAAAUUGAUAUUUCUUAAUAAGUUUAUCAUACUAAUUUUUUAGUUUUUAUUUUGAAAAAGUUUUCAAAUAUACAUACUUUCAAAAUUGAUGAACUUGAAUAAUUUUAUUGGAUUAAAAAAAAAUUUCAAGUAGAAUUAGGAUGAUAAAAUAGGACUCGUUAAUUCAAUUAACUCAUUUUUUUUUCAAUCAGUUCGAAUCGAAUCAAUCGAACACUCACAUGAAACUUAGUACAAUAAAAUUUGAUGAUGGUUCUUAUUUUUUAUCCCCUUUUAGAGAUAUCCUAAUUUAGAGAAUAAAACUUUGAUGUUGCAUUAAUCCUUCAACGACCUCUUUAACAAAGAAUUGAAUAUUUAACACUAAGUAAUUAUUUUUUUUAAUUUUAUAAUUUGAAAGUUUUUUGAAUUUGUUUAGAAUAUUUAUCAUCCAUGUCACAAUCAACGAAGAAAGCCAAAGUUUAACAAGCAACCCUUAUUGUACAAAAUUUAUCCAUGUUAAAUGCUUUACCAUUAAAAUUAAAAACCUAAAAACUUUGGGACGUGUAUAGCAGGGAAACCUGAAAGUGAUUUGCAUAUUUUCACUCAAUUUGAAGAAAGAGUAAAGUACUGAUGGAAUAUAUUUUCAUAAUCAUCAAUUUUCUUUUUUAAAAAAAAAUCUAAAUGAUAUCUAAUCAAGUAUAAAUUUUAGAAGAAAUAAAAAAAUGAUGAACAUUUUUCAACUUUCUCUAAUAUUUACUUUCGCCUGAUAUUAAUAGGGAUUAAUGAAGCAUUUGGAAGCCUGUGUUAGAACAAUUCUGGAAGGAAAGGCCUCUGUUCAGGCUUGGAGGCUAGUCAAUUUCUAGAUUUUCUUUUACAGCUUAGAAGUGUCAUUUCAAUUGAUAAUUCAUUGGAAAAAGAACAAAAAGUUUGGCUUUCCAAUCCAUAUGUCUGCCAGUUAAACGAAAACUGUACAUAUUUUAGAACAGUGUGUAUGUAUAUAUAUAUAUAAGAUGCAAUCUAAAUCAGGAAAAUGUUGAUUAACCCGAAAAAGCUAACAGAUGAAAAAAGAUUCCCAGUUUUUCAAUACUGUCAUCGUUUGGAAGAGUCUCAUAACACAGGCUUGGAUAGCAAAAUAAAAGAAGAAGGAAAAAUGAAACUCUAGGCUGACAGUACAUGUAUCAACCAGUGUGUUUCAAUUUCCCCCAUAAGAGCAUUCCUUUGUGACAGUUCUUCGCUUUGUGACUUGUCUCGUUUAGACCCAAAAAACCUUGAUGCUUGCUUCCUUUAUAGAGUUACAGACAGGACAAGCUUCGAGGAAAGUUUCACAAGACUUGCACGAGCAAAGGUGUCUACAUGGUAGAAACACGACGCACGAGCUCCUAGCAUUGCAGUGUUUGCAAGCCAUCUUAUUAUUACUAUUGCUCUUUUGUUUCACUUCUCCUUCUUGUUGAUCUCUGAAAAGUGAUUCUGCAUCCUCUGGUGCAUUGCUGACCCAGACUAGGCUCUCCCUCGCUUGUUCCAGUUUGUUGUUGAGAUCCAUGAUCAUUGCUUCCUUUGCUUUAGCAAGGUUUUGCCAUGAAUGACUCUCCGUUUCCGCUUUUCUUAGUGAGGCUUCGAGCUCCAUUGUUUUCUUUGUUGCUCGAGCCAAGUCUUCUUCCUUUUGCCUUAUCAAAUGCAUGGCCUUUGAUUCUAUACAUUUUAGCAGGAUGGCCGAUUGUCGUUUUCUUUGCUCACGUAAAGCAGAUCUUAGCCUCUCAUUCUGGAUUUUCUCCGUCCAUGAUAGAAUAUUAAAAGAAAUGGCAAAUUUUCAGUUACAAAAAAAAAAAAACAAGAACUUUGAUCAAAUAGCCGAUAAUAAAAAAAAUAUACGAAAAUAAUAAAGUUAUGAUGAAUUCUUGCCUGCAAUCGAAGAACGCAAUCAAGCUCCUGUCUUUGCAUCUCCAGUUGAGCAUCCAACGAUUGUGAAAGAGCCACAGAGACGAAAGCAUUAGCUGCGGAAGAGGAAGAAGAAGAAGAAGCAACAGCCAAAUUGUGAGCGUUUUGUUGCAGAUGAAAAGGAAGCGUAUAUCGAGAAGGGUCUUGAAGAGUGAAAUACGAGGAAGGAAUUAGAGCAGGUGCAGGGUUUACCAUCCAAUCCUGAACACCGCACAUAUUUUCAGCAUACAAAGGUGCUUGAACAGCCAUGGUAAAGCAACAACCCUUUGGCCCUUGUGAAUUCACAUAAAUAGAGGAGUAUAUUAAUAAGAAAAGCAGAAAGGGUAGGUUCAAAGGUUGAAGGCUGAGGCUCCUAUAUCAGGAGAGAUGCAUGACCUUCUCUCUCUAUCUUUCUUAAUUGGCAUAUAAGCUUUUUGGGCUUUGUUUGUUGCUUAGGUUUUUAUGGUUAAACUGAAAUAGACCAUCAUCAUCAUCAUGAAAGAACGAAAGCAAAGAAAGAAACUCGUGGAUGGUUAUAAGUCGAGUGAGGAAACCGACAAAAUCUUUAACAUUUUCACUUUUAAAACAGAUAUAUUCAUUAAUGAAUAGGAGAUUUUAUGGGACAUUAUUUGUUUGUAAAUGACGUAUCUAAAUAAGGGAAAAUAAAGGAUACGAGGAGAGAAAUGCAAACGACGCCGUACACAUGCAGCUUUCUCACAUUCACUCAUUUGGGACCUUAAAAUAGAGUGAGACGUUUUGGAAGGGAGGGAAAUCAGAGAUUGGGGAUAUUGUAUCUAUGUGGUCGGUUCCAAACGAUAAAGAUAUACGGAUUUUGGGUUAUAAUUUUAUAAUUUUAAGAUUCUAAUUUUAAUUUAAUAAAUGCUGGUUAUAGAUUAUUAUUUUCACGUAGAUUAAAUAGUUUUUAUAUGUUAAAUUAAAUAAUAAAUUAAUUUUUAUGUUAAGAAUUUUAUAUAUUAAUAAGAGUUAUAAGUUACAUUAUUUAAUUAUUCUCUUAAUUAGGUUAGUUUUUAACAAUAUAAAAAAAUAAAUUAAUUUAUUAUUAUUUUCUAUCUUACAGAAAUUAAUAUAAUUUAAAACUAAAAUUUUAAAUUUUAAAAAUAAAAAAUUAAGAUUACAAGUUAUCCAUAAUACAAAAGAGAUUUUUUAGAAAAAAUAAAAUAAAGGUUAAUUUUGACCCUUUUGAUAUGCAAUUCAUUUCAAAUCGCCCUUGGUGCCAAGUGGCCAUGUUAAAGCCCCGAGAUUAACGGGUAUGUGUCCCUGUUUGAUAUUAUAGGCGGAAAACGUCACCUCAUGGAGCUGCCACUCUGCUCCGGGCAUCAAGAUCCAUGAAGAGUUUGGUUGCAAGGCAAGGCGUAAACUUGACUUGGUUUUUCAAUUCUAAUGAUAACGCCUAUAUUAAUAUGGGGCAUCCCGCAGUUUCCAUUUCCAACUACAAUCGAGUGAGAGAGGUGAUAACAGUUGGGGCCAGCGCUCUCCUGCCGUAUCCGGUCAUCCACAUAAUGGAACCCACGAUCGCACUGCCGUGAUAACCCAUCUUCAGUCGACUUUUCUUGAUAUGAUUGAUGGUAGCCCAAAUUUAUAAAAAUAAAUAAAUAAAGUAGCUCAAUUGACGAUGACAGACAACGUUUUAACAGCGAGAAAGCACGAGUGUUUUCAGUUUUUACCUUCCUUCGCUAUGACGCUCUAGUAUCUUUAAGUAGCCCAAAAAGGCUGAUAAGGUUCAUAAGUGCAAUAGAUAGUUAAAUGAGAUUGUAGCUUUAAAGGAGGGCAGCUGCAGCAGAAGCCAGAGGGACGAUAACAAAACCCUCUUUUUUAGAAAAAAAAAUAGAGGUGGAGUACGGAUCCAUUAAUAGUGCACGGCGGUAUUUUGGCAAUGAUAUUAUCGAAGUAGUCUAAAUACAUAUAAAGUUUGCUUUGCCCUCUGUCCCUGACCAAAAGUUUAAGGCUAAUGAAGAAAGCUAAGCUAGUUCAGCAGUUAACUGAAAUUCGUCUUUAAUGUGGAAGUUUGCUACUAACAUAAUUAUCAUCCUUCUUUUCCAUACAAUGGCAAUGUUAAAUUGUAGCACCCCAAACCCGGCUCAGACGUUAUGGUCGGAUUCGACAUGCCACAUCGAAGCGUUCAAAACAUUUUAUAUUAUUGAUCCAGAAAAACUUAUUUAGUGUUUUAAAAAAUAAUUUCAUUAUAGGUUAAAGUGAAUGGAAGCUGUGCACCAGGUAGGAAACUGGAAAAGAGGUGGUGAGUCCAUCGGACUGCUUAAGUACCAAGCUCCCUUCGGAUCCAAUCCUAGACAUGCAUACCGCCAUUGCCACACCUUAACACCAUGGAUAUUUCUAGGAAACCGAUUUGAUUAAGUCAUUUUUAGGAAAAGUGAUUAAUUUUAGAAAAUACUUUCAUUGCGAAAGCUUUGCUUGUUGUCGUGUUAUUUUGAAAUCAAUUGUUGUUUUUGAAAACGCGCCCUAAAGCUAUCCAAUUUCAACAGUUAAAAUAAGUAAUACCCAUCUUAGUAAUACAUAUUAAAACCAUCAAAAAUAAUUAAGCGGCCUUAUUACAUUUAAAAACCCAAAACUUCAAACGUAAAUAAAAGGAUGUCCAGUUCACCAGAAGAAAAUCAAACUUUCAGAACGGGUGGCCACUCCGAAUUCCCUCACAGCUCCAAGCCCACUAUGGUUGGGGAUUUCCUGCGUGGAUGAAAAUAAAAGGGGUGAGUUUGGAGAAAGUGUGUAAGGAAAACCCAUUCAAAGCCCAAGUCAGCUCAAGCCUAUUGGGCCUAAGCCCAUUCAGGUAAUAGUGGUACUGGGCUAGAGCCCUUUUUCGAUUACAAUAAACUGGGCCUUAGCCCCUUAUUCAGAUAACAGUAUGGCCCAUAGGCCCAUUUGGAAAUACAUGCAACAUCAAUAACAUAUGCAAGCCCAUUUGGGAAGACUACUCAACCCACCAACCACUACACUCCACCCGUACCAGCCAUACACUCCAUGUGGGGAAUAGCUCAACCCACCCAGCCCAACACUCUACAGUUGUAGCCUUACUGCUCAGUUAACAGUAAAUUGAGGCAAAGCCUCCAGUAUGUGGACAAGCCACUUUCAGUACUUCCUCCGUCAAUAUCCCAAUCCCAUGCAUCAGAUAAUAACAACAUGGCAUGCAGUAAAUAACAAUAGUCAAACAUGCAUUUAGGUCAAUUUAACCCUAUGGGUAUUUCGGUAAUUUAUCUACUAGGGGUAGAACUGUAAAAUUUCCACUUUUAAAGGUAUUUCAGUAAUUUAUCUAUUUUAGGGUUUUUCAUGCAUAUUCCUACCUUUCACGUACUAACAGAAUUACUACCGAGGGUUCUUACCAAAUUGGGCCCGUUGGCCCAUCAUUCCAAUUUUGGCCCAUUAAGCCCAAAAAUAUCGAGGGCACAGAAAUCAUGCACUUUGCAGUCCAAACAUUGCAGCUUAUCAAAAACAUUAAUCGAUUUACCUCACGAGCAUUCGCACACUCGCAAAUCUACAAAAUACCGGUUUUCGGCAUUUUGGCUUUUCGACUUUUUCCGAUCUAGACUAAGAAAGAGGGUGUUAGUUACACACCUGUUUGCAACGAUAUGCUGACGAGAUCUACACACGAACUGCCUACAAUUGGAUUACUAACACGUUAAUCUAACUAUUCAAAUACAAACUACGUAUUAACCCCUUACAAUAUUCGGCCAACCACACCUACAGAUCAUAGUAAGCUUAUAAGAAAUCAAUAAGUAACUCAUUAACAAAUUUUUGUCAAUGUUUACCACAUAAUCAUAAUUUCACUGCAAGCUGUCUUCUUGAGCAACAGUCACUAAAUUAUUUAUAACUGGAGCUACGAAACUCCAAAUCAAGUGCCGUUAAUUUUCCAUGAAAAUAGACUCAUAUAUCUUCUAUCCAUAAAAUUUUCAGAAUUUUUGGUAUGGCCAAUCAAUACCAGAUUUUUCUUAAAGUUUCCCGUGUUUCACUGUUUGACUAAUCUGACCACUCUUCAUUUCAAAUCAAAUUUCUCAUUGUACAGAAUUCAAAAUAUAUUCUCGUUUAUUUCAUUUGAAACUAGACUCAUUAAGCUUUAAUUACAUAAUUUAUUCAGCUUCUAAUUCUUCUCCCACAAUUUAUGGUGAUUUUCCAAAGUCACGUUACUGCUGCUGUCCCAAGCAGAUUUAUUACCAAAUCACUCUUUCACACAUACCUUGCAUGCAUGUUUUUUAAACAUGUAUAUCACCAAUCAAUCAUCACAUAUCUAUGAUUUUACUUAAGUAUAAUCUCCAUUUCAUCAUUUUAAAGCACAACAUGUUAGCUGAUUUUUCCCUUUAACAUCUAAGGCACAUGCAUGCUCAUUUGUUUGGUUCAACUUCACCUAUCUUCCAUUUUUCAUCAAAAGAACAUGAAAGAACAACCAUUUCCUUCAUUUUAAUUCAUGACUAAAUGCUCACAACACAACUAAAAACCAAAAUAUGCUUCAAGAGUUAAGGUAGAAUCAAGAUGAACUCAUGAACCUCAAAAUAAGAAGCAAGGUACCAAGAACUUACCUUCAAUUUUCCUCCUCCUAAUGACCGAAUACUCAAGAGCUUUCUCCUCUCCUUUCUCUUCUCUAACUUUCAGCUAUGAUGAACAAAGAUGGACAAAACUUUGUUCUUUUCACCCCUUUUUCUUUUAAUAAAACUUCAUAUUUCAUCCAUUUAAUUCUUUAAUACAAAAGACAUGAAAUUCUUAUCAUGAAACAUUUACCUAACCCAUUAUCAUGAAACAUUUACCUAACCCAUUAUCAUGGAACAUUUACCUAACCUAUUAUCAUGGAACAUUUACCUAACCUAUUAUCAAUUUGUAUCAAUUUGUACCAUAAAUUAUGGAUAUCAAGUGUACAUUUUGUCUACAACAACAUGAUGGCUGGCCACUUCAUGUAAAAUGGAAGGUUUGUCAUGCAAAUCCUCUUAUUUUGCACUCCUAUUUAUUUGGCCACUUCAAUUUAGCCUAUAGCAUUUUUAAACAUUUUCACAUAGGUCAUAUUUCAUAAUUUCACUCCCUUUUUCUUAUGGAACAAAAAUUAACUAAAAUUACCGGGUUCUAUCUUAAGCUUAGGCCUUCUAGAGGCCCACUAACAUAAUUAAACCUAUGCCAACAUUCACAGGAUUCUCGAAAAUUGGGGCGUUACAACUCUACCCUCCUUAAAGAAAUUUCGUCCUCGAAAUUUACCUAAUCCAAACAGAUGAGGGUAUUGCUGUUGCAUCGUCUCUUCUGGCUCCCAAACUCAGAAGUUUCCCCUUCCUUAACUUGUUGAAAACGAGCGACCAAAGACUCACCGUUCAACUAUUUUUUUUCCUUAAUCUGAUCCACCCAGGUUGGCCUCACUUGCAACUCAGCCAACAGACUUCCAUCAUCAUACAGACUCAGACGAGAAAAUAUUGCUCUCAGAUCAGAUACAGCUCUACGACUUAGAGCAUCGGCUACCACAUUAGCAUUGCCUAGGUGAUACUCGAUCGAACAAUCAUAAUACUUAAGUAACUCAAUCCAUCUCCUUUGCCUAAGGUUCAGCUCCUUCUGAGUCAACAAAUACUUAAGACUCUUAUGGUCAGUGUAUAUAAUACACCUUUCUCCGUACAAGUAAUGUCUCCAAAUCUUAAGUGUAAAUAUCACUGCUACCAACUCUAAAUCAUGAGUCGGAUAGUUCCCCUCAUAAGGCUUAAGCUGUCGUGAUGCAUAUGCAACCACCUUACCCUCUUGCAUUAACACGCAGCCAAAACCCACAUGUGAUGCGUCACUGUACACACUAAAAUGCUUCCCAGACUCCGGCUGAAUCAACUCAAGUGCUUCAGUCAGAACUUUCUUCAACUUCUCAAAAGCUUCCUGCUGCUUCUUAGUCCAUAUAAACGGUACUCAUUUCCUUAUGAGUUUUGUCAAAGGUGCUGCCAUCACAGAAAAACCUUCUACAAACCUUCUGUAGUAUCCUGCCAGUCCUAGGAAACUCCGUAUUUCCGAUACUGACCUAGGAGGCUUCCAUUCCAAAAUCGCUUCAAUUUUCCGAGGGUCCACUUGAAUCCCCUCAGCAGAGACCACAUGUUCUAAGAAAGUUACCUCCCUCAACCAAAAUUCACACUUGCUGAACUUCACAAAGAGUUCCUUCUCCCUUAAUACUUACAGCACUAUACGGAGAUGCUCAUCAUGUUUCGUUUUAGUUUCAGAAUAUACCAGGAUAUCGUCAAUAAAGACGACUACGAAUUGAUCUAAAAAUGGUUGGAACACAUGAUUCAUCAGAUCCAUAAACGAUGCACGUUCGUUAGUCCAAAUGGCAUAACCAGAAACUCGUAAUGACCAUACCGAGUCCUAAAUGUCGUCUUAUGGAUAUCUACCUCCUUGACCCUUAACUGAUGAUAUCCAGAUCGAAGGUCGAUCUUGGAGAAUACAGAAGCUCCUCUAAGCUGGUCGAACAGAUCGUCAAUCUUUGGCAGUGGAUACUUAUUCUUAAUCGUCAGUUUGUUCAACUAGCGAUAAUCAAUGCACAUCCGCAUUACCAUCCUUCUUUUUCACGAAUAGCACCGGUACUCCCCAUAGAGACAUGCUUGGCCUAAUAAAAUCCCUAUCCAACAACUCUUGAAUUUGAGCCUUUAACUCCACUAACUCCUUCGGUGCCAUCCUAUACGGUGCGAUGGACACGAGCGCCUUUCCAGGCAAUAAAUCUAUUCCAAACUCAACUUCUCAGUUUGGAGGCAAUCUUGGAAGCUCCUCCAGAAAAACAUCUUGGAACUCCUUUAUGGUCCUAACCUUAUCCACUUUCAGUCCCUCCUCUUCCGAUUGACUUACAAAUGCCAAAUAGACCUCAUAACCUUUCCGAAUCCACUUUUCGGCUCUUAAUGCCUACACCAUAUUGGACAAAUAAUCCCUUCGCUCACCUAUCACCAUAACCUCCUCAUCCUUUCUGGUCAUUAACACCAUUCGUUUAGCAGCACAAUCCAGAGUCGCUUUAUGCUUAACAAGCCAGUCCAUUCCCAAAAUGAGAUCAAACUCUCCGAACAGUAACUCCAUCAGAUCUCUAGGGAAAAUCUUACCUUGAGUUUCUAAGGGUACAUCCCUAUACAGUUUGUCUACCCUAACCGAGUGACCCAAAGGACUUAGUACAGAUACCCCACUCACAAUCUCCUCAGAGCAAUCCAAGUCGUCCAUAAUCCGUUCUGUGGCCUCCAACCAAUAUUCCGCCACAUUUGGGGCUAUACCAGACACGCCCCUAAAGAUCUCCACUCCGUUAGUCCGAAGUCAUUCAGAAAUAGAUCCCCGAACUCCAUUACCCGCACUUACCCCGGCAACCCUUUCCAGAACACGAAGCAUUGCUUGUGACAGGGCAUCAUCCCCGGUACCGCGGUCAUGAGACUCUACCUCUGUUGUCGGUGGUACCGGUGCAUCCACCGCCGGCAUAUAUCCUGAAGACGAAGAUCUCGCUCGAGCACUUCCUCGAAUCCGUCCAUAGCCUCUUGUACUCAUAUCGUAUUAUUUUGAUUAUGAAUUUUUAUGCAUCAAUUAAUAUUCCAGUGUUUAUUAUAGAUAUUUUAUGAAUCAGACAGUAGUUCAGAGUUUGUUUUCGCAGAAUCGAAGUCUAGCUACAGUUUCAGUCUCUUAUCAGAUUUUCCUAUGGUUUCAGUAUCAUCCUAUUUAGAGAUCUUAAUAGGGUUUUAGUACAGACAGAUAAUUCAGGAAAAUAUUCAGAAAAAUUUAGAAUACUUACAGACUUGAGCCGGAGAUUCGGAAUGCCACCUUCUAAAGAUUUAAAUUCUGAAAAUCGAGUUUUUCGCAUUCUUUAUAAAAUUUUCACUUUCGAAAAUCUUUGUUUUUGUAAACCCAUUCCACAGCCGAGUUGUUGCAACCUAGGCUCUGAUACCACUAAAUGUAACACCCCAAACCCGGCUCAGACGUUAUGGUCGGAUCCGACAUGCCACAUCAAAACGUUCAAAACAUUUUAUAUUGUUGAUCCAGAAAAACUUACUUAGUGUUUUAAAAGAUAAUUUCAUUAUAGGUUAAAGUGAAUGGAAGCUGUGCACCAGGUAGGAAACCGGAAAAGAGGUGGUGAGUCCAUCGGACUGCUUAAGUACCAAGCUCCCUUCGGAUCAAUCCUAGACAUGCAUACUGCCAUUGCCACACCUUAACAUCAUGGAUAUUUCUAGGAAACCGAUUUGAUUAAGUCAUUUUUAGGAAAAGUGAUUAAUUUUGGAAAAUACUUUCAUUGCGGAAGCUUUGCUUGUUGUCGUGUUAUUUUGAAAUCAAUUGUUGUUUUUGAAAACGCGCCCUAAAGCUAUCCAAUUUCAACAGUUAAAAUAAGUAACACCCAUCUUAGUAAUACAUAUUAAAACUAUCAAAAAUAAUUAAGCGGCCUUAUUACAUUUAAAAACCCAAAACUUCAAACGUAAAUAAAAAGAUGUCCAGUUCACCAGAAGAAAAUCAAACUUUCAGAACGGGUGGCCAUUCCGAAUUCCCUCACAGCUCCAAGCCCACUAUAGUUGGGGAUUUCCUGCGUGGAUGAAAAUAAAAGGGGUGAGUUUGGAGAAAGUGUGUAAGGAAAACCCAUUCAAAACCCAAGUCAGCUCAAGCCUAUUGGGCCUAAGCCCAUUCAGGUAAUAGUGGUACUGGGCCAGAGCCUUUUUCAGAUUAUAAUAAACUGGGCCUUAACCCCUUAUUCAGAUAACAGUAUGGCUCAUAGGCCCAUUUGGAAAUACAUGCAACAUCAAUAACAUAUGCAGGCCCAUUUGGGGAGACUACGCAACCCACCAACCACUACACUCCACCCGUACCAGCCAUACACUCCAUGUGGGGAAGAGCUCAACCCACCCAGCCCAACACUCCACAGUUGCAGCCUUGCUGCUCAGUUAACAGUAAAUUGAGGCAAAGCCUCCAGUAUGUGGACAAGCCACUUUCAGUACUUCCUCCGUCAAUAUCCCAAUCCCAUGCAUCAGAUAAUAACAACAUGGCAUGCAGUAAAUAACAAUAGUCAAACAUGCAUUUAGGUCAAUUUAACCCUAGGGGUAAUUCGGUAAUUUAUCUACUAGGGGUAAAACUGUAAAUUUUUCACUUUUAAAGGUAUUUCAGUAAUUUAUCUAUUUUAGGGUUUUUCAUUCAUAUUCCUACCUUUCACGUACUAACAGAAUUACUACCGAGGGUUCUUACCGAAUUGGGCCCGUUAGCCCAUCAUUCCAAUUUUGGCCCAUUAAGCCCAAAAAUAUCGAGGGCACAGAAAUCAUGCACUAUGCAGUCCAAACAUUGCAACUUACCAAAAACAUUAAUCGAUUUAUCUCAUGAGCAUUCGCACACUCGCAAAUCUACAAAAUACCAGUUUUCGGCAUUUUGGCUUUUCGACUUUUGCCGAUCUAGACUAAGAAAGAGGGUGUUAGUUACACACCUGUUUGCAACGAUAUGCUGACGAGAUCCACACACGAACUACCUACAAUUGGAUUACUAACACGUUAAUCUAACUAUUCAAAUACAAACUACGUAUUAACCCCUUACAAUAUUCAGCCAACCACACAUACAGAUCAUAGUAAGCUUAUAAGAAAUCAAUAAGCAACUCAUUAACAAAUUUUUGUCAAUGUUUACCACAUAAUCAUAAUUUCACUGCAAGUUGUCUUCUUGAGCAACAGUCACUAAAUUAUUUAUAACUGAAGCUACGAAACUCCAAAUCAAGUGCCGUUAAUUUUCCAUGAAAGUAGACUCAUAUAUCUUCUAUCGAUAAAAUUUUCAGAAUUUUUGGUAUGCCCAAUCAAUACCAGAUUUUUCUUAAAGUUUCCCGUGUUUCACUGUUUGACUAAUCUGACCACUCUUCAUUUCAAAUCAAAUUUCUCAUUGUACAGAAUUCAAAAUAUAUUCUCGUUUAUUUCAUUUGAAACUAGACUCAUUAAGCUUUAAUUACAUAAUUUAUUCAGCUUCUAAUUCUUCUCCCACAAUUUAUGGUAAUUUUCCAAAGUCACGUUACUGCUGCUGUCCCAAGCAGAUUUAUUACCAAAUCACUCUUUCACACAUACCUUGCAUGCAUGUUUUUUAAACAUGUAUAUCACUAAUCAAUCAUCACAUAUCUAUGAUUUUACUUAAGUAUAAUCUCCAUUUCAUCAUUUUAACGCAUAACAUGUUAGCUGAUUUUUCCCUUUAACAUCUAAGGCACAUGCAUGCUCAUUUGUUUGGCUCAACUUCACCUAUCUUCCAUUUUUCAUCAAAAGAACAUGAAAGAACAACCAUUUCCUUCAUUUUAAUUCAUGACUAAAUGCUCACAACACAACUAAAAACCAAAAUAUGCUUCAAGAGUUAAGGUAGAAUCAAGAUGAACUCAUGAACUUCAAAAUAAGAAGCAAGGUACCAAGAACUUACCUUCAAUUUUCCUCCUCCUAAUGACCGAAUACUCAAGAGCUUUCUCCUCUCCUUUCUCUUCUCUAACUUUCAGCUAUGAUGAACAAAGAUGGACAAAACUUUGUUCUUUUCACCCCUUUUUCUUCUAAUAAAACUUCAUAUUUCAUCCAUUUAAUUCUUUAAUACAAAAGAAAUGAAAUUCUUAUCAUAAAACAUUUACUUAACCCAUUAUCAUAAAACAUCUACCUAACCCAUUAUCAUGGAACAUUUACCUAAUCUAUUAUCAAUUUGUAUCAAUUUGUACCAUAAAUUAUAGAUAUCAAAUGUACAUUUUGUCUACAACAACAUGAUGGCUGGCCACUUCAUGUAAAAUGGGAGGUUUGUCAUGCAAAUCCUCCUAUUUUACACUCUUAUUUAUUUGGCCACUUCAAUUUAGCCUAUAGCAUUUUCAAACAUUUUCACAUAGGUCUUAUUUCAUAAUUUCACUCCCUUUUUCUUAUGGAACAAAAAUCUUAAGCUUGGGCCUUCUAGAGGCCCACUAACAUAAUUAAACCUAUGCCAACAUUCACAGGAUUCCCGAAAAUUGAGACGCUACAUAAAUUACAGAUCAACAUGCUCAGUGGUAGCUCUACUUAAUCAAAAUUUCAAUUUCAAUCUCAGUACUUUAAAUUUUAAAACAUUGAUUCCCUAUAUUUAUUUUAAUUUAACAAUCUUGGUGCCAAUGAAUAGCCCCUAUUCAUUUUUGUUGUUACUCAUACUAAUGUGUCAAUUAUUGUUACUCAUACUAAUGUGUCAAUUAUGAAAAUGAUAUAAUAAUCUCUCUCUUUUUUUCGCUUAAAGUUAAUAGUUUUUUUUUUCAAAUUUCCUCAACUAAAUUACUCAAAAAUUUUCUAAAAAUAUUUUUUUUCUUAUUGUAAAUAAAAAACCUUUAUUUUUUUUAAGAAUUAAAAAAACUAUUUUGAAAAAUAUAAAAAAUACAUGAAGUUCCAAUUUUUUAAAAUAUGUUAUCCACUUUGUAUAAUCCCGAUCCUGCCGGGCCUCACAAACCCAAUAAGCCCAAUUCAUCCUAGCCCAGAACCUUAACAAAAAAACCUAGCCUCUCUUCACCUUAGGUCUUCAACCACCCUCUGCCGCCGUUCCUCUGACACCACCAACUCCUCUGCCACCGCCGUUGACCCUUAGGCCUGCAAAACAAAAACAAGAAGAAAGCAGAGAAGCAGGAAGCAAAAAAAAUAAUAGAAAACUAAAUAUUGUAUUUGGCUAUAAAAAGAGCCUCAAACAAACAAUGUUUUUUUGGACACUGAUAUUGAAAUACAACAAAAAAAACCGGUGAUAAAAAAGAAAAAAGGUGAUUUCUAACGUCUGAUUUUUCUCUCAUCUCAAAUCUGUUUCGUUUUCUUCUUUGUUUGCAUGCGUUUCCAGUAUAAUAAAAACAAAAAACAAAAGACUUAUCAUUAAGAGUUUGUCUUCGAAAUCCUCAUCUUCUUUGUCUAAAUCGAAGUUUAAGAGGGGAUUUCGGGGUUGAAAUCGGCAUACAUGGCCCCAAUCAGCCUAGAACGGGCUUUGCUCAUCACCAAUUAUCGGUUACGGUAGCGUGUGGUGGCUGGGUAAAGGGUUCAUGCUUCAGCCGAAUGAAUAAGGGGGGAGAGAUUUCAGUUUCUGUUUUUUCUUAUUUUUUCUUUUGAUUUGUUUAGAGUGGCUGAAUGAUAGUUUUAGGUUUUUUUUAAUUUGGUUUUGUAAGGAGAAUGGAACGGUGGCGUUUAGGGGUAGGGUGAUCUGCUUCAAGUGGGAAAUUUGCAACGUUAACCCCUCCCUUUCGCGCUACAUUUUAGCUGACCCCUAUUAGCAUUUUAUUUAUUUUUUAAUUUCCCCUAAAAGUUUGUGUGUUAUUUCAUCUCAGCUCACUCCUAAGUGUUGCGUUUUAAGGUCUGGAGUAUUUCCAGCUUUAAUCCUUGAGCAUUUGCGCGUGUUUUGUACUGAUCCUUAUUUUAAUUCCAUCCGUUUAUUUUAUUUGUAAAUUGUCCCCUUCAUUUUAGAUUUAUUUUUAUUAAGUUUCCCAUUUAUAUAAUGCAUUGUUUUAAGGGUAUUCACUUAAUAAUUUUUUUUAAGAAAAAAACUACUUUAAUAAUUUUUAUUGCUUGGAAAUUUUGCAUUAUAUUAUUUUAGCAUUACGUAAAAUAUUUUGUUUACAUAUUUCUAUAUGCUUGUGUACACAGUGUAAUUUAGUUGAGUUUUCUAUUUAGAAAUAUUAAUAUAUUAAGAUAAAUCUAGGUAUAUUUGUUAAUCUAUUUUAAUUAUUUCACUUUGUUUUCAUCUGCAUAAUUAUUUUUCAUAAUUAUUUUGAAGUUCGUUUUAUCAUGUUAUUUUAAUAUUUUUGUAUAAUGUCUCAUCUAAUAUUUUGUGUAUAUUUGUACAUAUAUUAUUUUAAUGACUAAAUUGUUAUUUUAAAAUUUAUUUUGUGCUUAUAAAAUUAUUGUUUUGAAAUUUUUUAUAUUACAUUAUUUUAAUAUAUUACAUAGUAUCUCAUUCAAAUACUUUUGUAUAUAUUUGUGCGUAUAUAACAAAACUAAUUUAAUCUCGUAUGCAUUUUCCCUUUAUUCUAAAUUUAUUUACAUAUAUAUAAUUUGUAAAUUUAAUAUGUUCUUAAAAUUAUUAUAUAUGCUUUUAUUAUCUUUGCACAUUUUUUAAUUUUCCUUUAUUAUAUAUAAGUUGUCAAUUUUAAACCGAUAUCCUUUAACAUUUCGUAUAUCAUUCGAUUUAAAUAUUCAUUCUAUAACAUAUAUUUUAAUGGUCACAUGUAUUCUUUUAUUUUGUUUCUGUAAAAAGUGUCUAGUUUAACAAUUCAUAUAAUAUAUAUUAUAUAUUCAUCCUUUUAAAUUUAUCUUAUACACAUAUAUUUUUCUUUAACUUUCAUUUUGUUUUGCAUUUUUGCAUUUGAAUAUGUUGUAUUAGGUUAUAUAUAUUAUUGUGGUAUAUUAUUUUCAUUUUGUAUUGCCAUCAUAUUGAUUAUUCUUCAUCCAUGAUUAGGAAAUUGAUAAUAUUUUUUAGAAUUGGUGGAAUUUGAUUGUUAUCUUGUUAGUUGAUUAAACGAAUUAUCUUAUCUCCAUUCAUCCAUCAUAGUAUCUCGUACAUGUACAUUAUCUUGUGUUUUUAUUUCCUUUCGGAUUAACAAAUAUCACUCUAUAAUUUCUAACUCUUUAGAAUUAAUUAUUCCAUUUUAUUUUAAGACAAAUUAGUACAUUUCAAGCUGGUUUUAUAAUUAUUUAUUUAAAAAAUUCCUUAAAACCAAGGCAAUAUUCAAUGUUUGGCAAUUCGGGGAAUCGUGCUCUACCGUGCUGGGUUGCAAUUUCCUGUUUGUUCGAAACGAAUGAAUAUUCCUUCGGAAUUUCACCCAUGUCUUUAAAAAUUUUCUUUAGAACAAAGAAAAUGUUCGAUGCUUGGCAAUUCGGAGAAUUGUGCCCUAUCGUGCUGGGUUGCAAUUUUUCGUUUGUUCAAAGUAAUCGAACGUCCCUUUUGAAUUUUACACAUAUUUUUUCAAUCCUAAAGCAAAGCAAUGUUCAACGUUUAGAAGUUCGAAGAAUCGUGCCCUACCGUGCUGGGUUUCGAUUUUUUGUUGGACUAAAUAAUUGGACAUCCUUUUGCAAUUUUCAGGGUAUAAAUUUUUGGAAACCAAGAUUUAUCGCGUUCUCAAGGGAAUAAAGUGUUAUGUCCUAUCGUGUUGGAUAUGAUGCUGCGUUCCUUUGAAACAAGAAAAUUUUGACGGCCAACUUGAGCUAUUCAAAUUUUUAAAAGAAUCAUUUUUUUCAAAAAUAGUUUCAAAUCUCAGACAUAAGGACAGUACUUAAUCAAUUUGGUACCAAUUUUGGGCGUAGUGAGGGUGCUAAUCCUUCCUCAUACGUAAUCGGCUCCCGAACUUAUUUUCUCAUAUUUACGUAGGCCAAAAUCGGUUUUAAUAAAACAAAGUGUUUUAUUAGGUGACCCAAUCACACCCAAAUAAAAGAUUGGUAGCGACUCCAUGUUUUGUUUUCAAAAAGUCGAUCCCCGUUUUUUAAAAAAAAAGUCUCCCAAUUUUGAGCCAUCCGUUUAUUCUAAUUUAAAUUGGAUUUGAAUAUGUAUUUUUUAUCCAGUUCGUUCAAUUUUAUAUAUAAAUUUUUUAUUUAAAUUUAAUUAUAAGGUAUAUAAAAAAUUCUAUAAAAAUAUUUUUAAUAAUGAUAUAAACUUUGAAUUAGUUCAAAAUUUAAAUACAUUAUAUAUAUUUGUUCAAAAUACUAAAAUUAAGCCUAAAAAAUAAUAAAUUAAUUUUACUUUCAAAUUAAAGUUUUCUAAACUGACUAAAUUUUAUUUAAUUUGACUAGAUUUUAAAAAUUUUGACCAACCGUUAACUAAAUGAAAUUAAAAUAAUUCAAAUGAAAAGAGUAAGGGAAACUAAACUUAUUUUCUUAACUUGAAUGAAACAAUAGUUAAAAUUCUUGUUAAACACUCAUUUGGCAUGGAUCCAAAUCCUGUUACUCCAUCUCCACCUUUAUAUUACAUAAAAAAUUACUUAUAUUAAGUGCUCGUUGAAUAAAUUUGAUUCAAUCUUUGAACUAUUUGUGUCAGUGUAACACCCCAAAAAUAUAUAAGAUAAGAAGUAAUAAUUAACCAAGAAAUGAGUCUUAAUUUUAAUGGUUAAGAGCUUAGUAUAUUCCCUAGAAAUCCUACGUUGAACCCCCUUCCUUUCCCAUUUCUUUGUUUCAAGUCAUGCCAAACAUGUAACACCCCUCGCCCGCAUCCGACGCCUGGACGGGGUUCGAGGUGCUACCUGACUUUUACUAACACUUUCGUACUAAACAGGGUCAUGAAAUCUCAAAUAAUUAAAAACUUUUCUUUUCACAUGCAAUCUGUCCUUUAUGCGAGCUUAUGAGGCCCAAUACAUGCAUUCGGGGUGGUUCGGGACCCAACCAAGAACUCAUGAAAAACUUAGGAAAUCUCUUGUAUCAAGGCUCCACACGCCCGUGUAGGUAUAGAACACACGCCCGAGUGCUAAGGACACGCCCGUGUCCCGAACCCAUGUCCAAAACCUGGACAAAUACAAGGCUAUUUUCCAAGCCAUUUUGUCACACUCACAACACAUGCACGCAUACUUAUACAAUAGCAUACAACAUGGCAAAAUUAGGCACUUAAACCUUCCUAACAUGACAUGACCAUGGUAAUUUCACAUGCAACCAUUAUAAUAAGUUUUUCUUUCAUCUUUACCAUAUUAAUGCUAUAGCUAUCAACAUGUCAUCAAACCUCAUGUCCAUCACAAAGCAUGCAUAAUCAUAUCCACAAACCAUUCAUGAAGCAUUAUUAACUAUUUACCAAUCACUUAAUCCUGCAUUAGUUAUUAGCUCAUCAAUGAAUCUCAAUUCAAUCUCUAGGCAUACAUGUUGUAAGCCACAUCACAAGAGAUAAUAACAUACAUGCAUAAGAAUAAUCAUAUGGGCCCAUAACGAUAUUACCUGACAUAGGCCAAUUUACAUGACUAAUACUACCUUAAUAACAAGCCAAUGCCUUUGGCUAAAUCAUAAUAUUACAUACUCACAUUAAAACCCUAUACACGCCAUAGACUAGAAUCACUUGAGUUUACUUAUGCCGAUAGCGUUAACUCGACAGUGUGAUAAUAUCUCUGACGGCCUCCAACCCGAGCUAACCUGGAAACUCUAGAAAACAUGGGAAAGAAGAGGGGGUAAGCUUUAGCUUAGUAAGUUCAUAUGAAAACAAUAAGCAACUCAUUAACUUGUUUUAUCAAUGUUUACAACAUAUUCUCAAGUUCACUACAAGCUAUCUUUCUGAGCAAUGGUCACUAAAUUAUUUAUAUCUGGAGCUACGAAACUCCGAAUUAAGUUCCGUUAAUUUUCCCUUAAACUAGACUUAUUUUCCUUUCUUCCAUAAAAUUUCCAUAAUUUUUGGUUAAGCCAAAUAGUACAGUUUAUUCCUCAAAGUUACCCCUGAUGCACUAUCUGACAGUUCCGACCCUUCUGUACUAAAGUUUGAUUAUCUCAUAGUACAAGACUCAAAUAAUGUUCUCGUCUAUUUAUCUUGAAACUAGACUCAUAUGUAUACUUAAUAAUUUUUUUCUAGAAUUUUUGGUUAGGCCAAUUAGUACAGUUUAUUAGUUAAAUUCUCCCCUGUUUCAGGGUAUGACCACUCUGACCCUUGUGCACUACAAACUGAAUUUCUCCCUGUAAAAAAUUCCAACGACCAUGCCGUUUAUUUCACCUAAAAAUAGACUCAAUAAGGAAUCCAUACAUGUAAGGUAUGACUCUUAAUAAUUUUUUUACAAUUUUUGGUGAAUUUCUAAAGUCAGAAUAGGGGAUCUCGAAUUCAUUUAGACCCUAUUUCACAAGAAUUCAAAUAUCACACAAUAUGAAAUUCUUUUUCUUCCCCUAUUUCUUUCAUGUGAAAAUAGACUCAUUAAGCUUUAAUCCCAUAUUUUAUUCUGCCUCUAACUCAUUUUCCACUAUUUUUAGUGUAUUUUCAAAGUUACAUUACUGCAGUAACUCAAAUCUGUCAAGGCUCAUUCAUGAUCAUUGUUCACAAAAUUAAUACAACAUCGUUUGUAUAAUCAUCACUGAGACAUUCAUAUCACAUUUUCAUUUACCAUCUUACCAUAUUGUUGUUAUGUCGAGUUUUCAACCUGAGGGUUAAGUACAUACCCGUUCAAAGUAUCCAUUUCACAAUAUUUACCAAUACAUCCCUUUCAUCUCGAGUAUUCCUCCAUUUGAGUAGAAUUUUACCCGUUGAACACAUCGGAAUAUAAUUCGGAUAUAUGGAAAGUUGGCACAUAAGUGCCACAUAUGUAGCCAAGCUACCAUGUAACCCGCCCAUAAGUGAACUCGGACUCAACUCAACGAGCUCGGGCGUUCGCAUCCAUAAGUGAACUCGGACUCAACUCAACGAGCUCGGAUGCCUAGUUACAUCUCACGAACUCGGACUCAACUCAACGAGUUCGAACAUUCGCAUCCAUAAGUGAACUCGGACUCAACUCAACGAGUUCGGAUGCUCAACCAUCCUAGUAACAUGUCACUUGUAUCCUAAUCUAUUCCUAAGGUUCAAACGGGAUUUUCCUCGAACACAUAUCCUUGCCAUCUUCCGUAAAAUACCGAAACCAAUACUCGGUAGCACUUUAUAUUUAACAGAUAAUACACAUAACUUGCAUUUUAUUCGAAAAUAACCACAAAGCAUAUAUUUCAUGAUAAAAAUCAGCAUAUCAUAUAUUUAACAUCAAUAACUUAAAAAUAACAAUUAUGCUACAUUAUUUACACAUGAACUUACCUCGAUACCACAAAGGUGAAAAAAAAAGACGUAAUUAUCCCUUAAUUGAUUUCUUUCCGUUCUAGGUCCAAAUCUCGAUUUUCAUCAUCUAAAAUAUCACAUUCAACUUAUUAAAACAAUGUACUGAUCAAAUUAGUCCAUUGACACACUUGGGCAAUUUUUUACAAUUUUGCCCCUAUAUUUUGCCAAAAUUACCAAAUUACCCCUAGGCUCGUAAAAUAAUUUUUAUCACAUUUCUUUACUCUUUGAGUCUAGAUGAACCAUUUUCAUAACUAUAGCAACUCAUAAUUUCAACUAUUUCACACAUUUACAACUCAUUUUACAACUUAGCAAUCUAGCCCUUUUUAAGGUGUUUUCAUGCAAUUUCUUUCACAAAAGUUGUUUAUUAGACAACUAGGACUCAUAAUAUUCCAUAAAAACACAGCAAACAACACAUUUACUCUCAUGGAAAAACCCCAGACUCUUCAUCAUUUUGCAAAAUAGUCCCCUCUUAUGAAAGCUCAUGCUUUAGGGGUUCCAAAAAUGUAAAAAUCAUCAAGCAAAGACAUUAAAAUCACUUAAAAGCAAGGGAAAUAUGUUGCUGAAAUUUUCCAGCUUCAAAGCCCUUUCUUUGCUGCAUAUUUCGGUGAAGGAGAAGAGAAAAAUGAUAGCUUUUUCUUUUUGAUUUGUUAAUAAUAAAACUAGUCAAAAUUGGUGACCAAAUUUCACCUAAUUUUGACUUUUCAACAAUUUUGUCUCCCAUGGCCGGCCAUCACACUUUCAAUGGCCUAAUUUCACUUUAAAUACCCCCAAUUUAAGAUACAAGGCAAUUUAACACCUUUAGGUAUUAAAACACAACUUUUACCUGUUACGCGAUUUAGUCCUUUUUCGAAAUUGGACUAGAAAUUGCUAAAAUUAACUUACCAAAAUUUACAUGCACUUAUAACAUUAUAUUAUAACACAUAAAAUAAUACUAAAAUAAUUUUCUCUAGCCUCGAAAUAGUGGUCCCGAAACCACUGUUUCGACUAGGCCCAAAAUCGGGCUGUUACAAAACAUCUCCCUAUUUCCAUUUUCCUUAAUUUUGGCAAGAUGGGCUAAUUAGCUAAACAAUCCCUCAAAUUCAAAAAAAUCUAUGUAUUUAAUCUCUUAUUCAAAUCAAAUUAGAACUCUAGUCUCUUUACUAAUUGAACUAAAAUGUUACUUUCUUUUUCUUUCCCUAUUUCCCCCCUCAUUUUCUUUUUCAUCCUCUCUUUUACAAAUAUUUUUCCUCUCAUUGCUGAAAUUUUAUUUUGAUCCCAAAUCCUAAAUCAAUCUCCGUUCAACCAUUCUUUUUAUCGGUGUAGCAUAACGCCAAUAAAUAUUGUCUCUAACGUUGUCAAGAAUCGGUAAGAACAUUUCCAUUCUGACAUUUAGAUCUCAAACUACUUGUCAAAUUUUUGUUCUUGUUGAUUUCAAGAUUGAUUAAACGAUCUUUUACCAAUCUUGCUAAUAUUUCCUAAAAUAUUGACUUUUCUUGAAACCCAUUAUUAAUUCUUUCAUAUUUAUUGGUUGAAAGACUCGUUGCAGGUAUCCCGGACUAGACUUGGAUGUAAGGGUCAUCGUUCAAGACCCAGGUGACAUGUGUUUGUUCGUUUACGAGUAAAUCAGGGUAAAAUCGAGCCUAGAAUAGGGUCACAUGACCAGCCACCUAGGCGUGUGGGCCACACACCCUGCUCACAUGGUCAUGUCUGCCCUGAAACCCUAGGAGUUCGAAUCGCACACAGCCUGAACCUCCGAUCCACACGGUCUUGUCUCCCUUGUAGGUUGAUUUUAUGAAUGCCACACGGCCUAAACACACGGUUUGGUCACACAACUGUGUGUCCUCUGCAACUCAGAAUUUAUAAUUUUGACCCAGAAUUUUUAUGAUUUGUUCAAAUUAGUCCUUGACUAAAACUCAAACUAUUUUAAUGUUUAAUUUUGUGCAAUUAAGUCCCUAAUAAUAUGAAACCUUGCUUGAUUAAUCUGAUAUCAUAUGUACAUAUAUAUUUGCAUGAUUUAUGAAUAGUAGGUAUGAUUAAUGUAACUAUACAUUUGCGAUCGUAUGAACGACAUGCCCUAUAUUACUGUUGAUCCGAAUACAUGAAAAAAUGAUUUUUGUUAUUGAUUUGCCACCUGUUAGUACAUUAAUUACUAGCAUACUUGAUAUGUAUUAAACAUGUCACUGUGCAUUGCCUGGGAUGGGACGAUGUGAUUGGAGGAAGUUUGGCAGUAUAUCUACACUUAUCUAUUUUGAUGUGUAUCUAGCCAAAGGCAAAUUCCAUAUGCAAGUACUGCUGUGUAUCCACAACCAAAGGAACUUUUUAAAUAUGGGUUUAUGCUGUGAAAUCUAUAGUCAAAAGCAAGUUUCAUCUACAGGACUUUUUGCUGUGAACCUACAACCAAAAACAGAUUUCAUCUGCGAGGACUUGUUGUGUGUCCACAGCCAAAAUGGCAGUUAUUAUUUGCUAACCAGUAGUGGUUUAUCCACAUCCUGGUGUGUUGGAGAAGGGAGUUCAGGGGAACUCCCGUUGUGAUGUGUAGUGGUGGGGUAGGAUCUAUUCUAUUAAAAAUCGAAACUGUAUGACAAUCUUCAAAAUCAUGUGCAUACAAGUUUGGAAAUUAUGUUAUGAUAUAAUUAUGCAUGGAAAUAUAUAUGUAUUGUGGGAAAUUUUGAAAUUGGUUAUUUUGAUAAUUGCUACAGUGAGUUCUCAUAUAUAUUAAUGAUGGUUGCAUUGAAAAACUAAUACUUUGAAUUGUUGUCUAAUUAUGAUUAUAUUAUGCGAUAUUAUUUAAUAUGUUUUACCUACUGUUUACACUAAUUUUCUUAUGCAUGGACUUAUACUGAGCAUCAUAGCUCGCUCCUUAAAUUUUUAUCUUUAUAGAUAACCUACCAAGUUAGGACACGGAUGAGGCAUCUGGAGGGUCCAGCUCAAUCUAUUUUAUUUUCAAUUUAUUAAAGCUUAUUCUUUUGAUUUUUUUAUUAUUCGAGGAUUGUAGUAUUUUAUUUUGAAUUGUGGCAUGGGAGUCAAGUUUUAGGUUUGUUUUAUUUUGCAUGACAUUUAAUUGAAGUCUUAAAUCUUUCGAAUUAUGAUUGUUAAUUAAUUAUGCAUGAACCCCAUUUUUUUAUUAAAAACAAAUAAUUAUCACUUUCCCGAUUUUUAUUAAAAAAAAUAUUUAUCACUUUUCUGCUGUCAAAGUGUAAUUAAGAUUUCAAGUAAUAAAUAAUUUGGAAAUUAACUAAGUUUUGAGCUAAAUCAAACAAAUAUUACUAUUUUCAAAACUCUGAAAAUCUUGUUAGACCAUCUCGAUGACUGAUGUAAUCUUUCGAAUCUGAGUCUAACGUCUAGUUCGAGUUAGAGAAGUUACAAUCAGUCUAGUCCUUUAUGGCCAUAAAAACCCUCUUAUUUUUUUAUUCUUUAAAGCAAUAAUAAAAUUUUGGGGGUCAAAUGGAUGGAGCUCCCUCACCAUUCUUAGAAGAUGAGUUACCAUCUCGGCAAAAUUCAAAAGUAAUUGAAUCUUGAAUUCUUUUUAUGUAUUGUAUUUUGUAUACAAAUUAUAUAGUAUAUUUAAAUUUAAUUCGAAUCAAUUUAAAAGUUUUUAUUAUCAUUUAAAAGUAUUUUUACACUAAAAUUUUAUAUAUUUUAUAAUAAAUUUUAAAUAAAAAAUUUUUGGUAACUAAUUAAUUUGAAUAAAUUUUUUAAAAAAUAUUUAUUCAUAUUCACGGUUUAAUACAAACUAAAAAAAAUAGCUUUGGAGAAACCUUAUUAGAUUAAAUAAUAUAUUUUUAGAAAUUUUGGUUUUUUUUUAAUGUUCUUCAUAUUUUUUUAUUUUUUAAAAUGAAUUAUUUAAAUUCUUAUUUUCUUUUUUUGAAUUUUAAAGAGUUUUAUUUUCAUAAUUUUAUGAAAUUCUAAAAUAUGUGUUUUUUUAAAUAGGAUUUUUAUUGAAAAUACGAAAGACUAAUUUAUAAUUUUUUUUUAUUUCUAUGUACUUUUAAAAAGUAAGGACCAAAUUGACAGGAAUUAUAAAUAUUAAAGACUAAAAAGAUAUAGGAAUUAGGAUAAAAAUAUUUUAAAACUUUUAAUUCUUUUUUAGAAUUUUUGUAUACUUUUAACAAGUAAGGAUCAAAUUAGGGGAAAAAAAAGAGUAAACAUUAAGAGCUAAAAAGUACACAAUUAACGGCAAAAAUGGUUGGCAUUAUUGAUUGGACCAAACUAAAUCAAAUUAAGUGGAAAGACUGAAUAUCUUAAAAUUAAAGUAUGGAAACUAAAUUUAAAACUUGAUUAAAUUCAUGAAACUCUAAAUAUUCCUUGAAUAUUUGAAUUUAUCAAAUUAAAAAUUUUAAAAUUAAAUAAUGAGGGGUUUUUUCAAGGUAGUAAAUAAUAAGUUUUGAAUAUUGGAUUGUAAUACUCAUAUUUUGUACUAAUGAAACCAAACCAAAAUGAGACAGACAAAAUAUCCAAAUCAUUCCCAACUUAAUGAUAUGCUAUAACCAGACACUUUAAUGUUAAAUCUAAAAAUCAUCCAAAUGAAUUUGAUAAUCUCAGCUAUUAGUUACUAAAUAUGUUGCAUGCUUUAGCUCAUUCAUAAAAUAGUUACCAAAUAUGUUAUAUUAUGAUGUUGAGCCAAGGUAAGAAGACAAGAUUAGGAGGGCUCAUCUAUAUUCGUGUGUUGUGGGAGAAAAAAGGAAUUGACACAAUGAGGCGCGGAGAAGGAUCCUAGAAAAAUAAAUAUUAAUAAUUUUAUUUAAAUAUAAACUCUAAAUUUAAAACUCGAGAAAAAAAUAUAAUAAUAAGGUUUCAAAAAAACGUAAUAAUUAUAUUUAAAUAAUGCUAUUAACAUUUGUUUAUAACAACUAGUGUACAUACUCGUGCGAUGCACAUAUUAAUUAUAUAUAUUAACUAAAUUAUAUUUAAUUAUUUGUUAUAAAUCUUUUUAAAUUUUGUAACAGUUCAAAUAAUAAUAUUAUUACGAAAUUAAAACAUAACAUAUUAAUUUAACUUUAAAAGAAUUAUAGUUGAUAUUAUAAUCAAUUGAAUAAAAAGAUAAUACUAUUUUAUAAAUAAACUUAAAUUAAUAAGUAAGAUUCAUUCGUUAUAGACCUAUUCAUAGGGUUGAGCAUCCAAUCGAAUGAAGUGAAAAUUUUUUAUGCUAAUCGAUUUGAUGAAUCUCAUUUUAUAAUCCUAACUUGAUUUUAAGUCUUCUUGAAUCAAUUCGAAUGAAAUGAGAUUUGAGUCUAGUCGAGUCAAAUAAAUUUAUUCGAGUUAAAUUUAAAAAGUUAAACCGACCAUAAAUUUUGUGGACAAUAUGAUUAGAUUCCAAAUUAAGGAACAUAAAUAUAUUAUAUAUAUUUGAAAACUCUUUUUAAAAAAUAUAAAUAUAAUAUGUAUUUUUUGGAGGGACAAAUUUGCACAUUUUCAAAACUAUCAGGGACCCAAGGGGUAUUUACAUCAUUUUUUUUAUUCGUUUCAUUUGAAUUAUUCUAGUUAUAAAAUUAAACUCAACUCAAACUCGAAAAAUCGAAUUACUUAUUCGAGUUAAUUCGAUAAAAACCAAAUAACUUGAAUAACUCAUUUUGAUAAACUCGAAAUUCGAAGAAAAAAAUUUUGUUUUUUUUCGAAUCAAGGUCUACUCACCCCUGCUUAUUCAUGGGUUGGGCUACUUGCCUAAGCUCGAAGGUCUACCCAAAAUUUGGAAUGAUUUGGGCAAAAAUAUUAAGCUCAAAACAUGGAUUUGAACAAAAAAAAUUUAAGCCUAUUUUAAAAAUAGAUUUUAUGGUUAAAAGACAACAUUAAUAAAAAUAAAUUUAAACUAGUUUUUAAAAUUAAAAUUACAUUAAUUAUUGUCAAUUGAAUCUUAGCUCGAUUGGCAUAUGUAACAGCCUAAUUUUCAGUGGUGUCGAAAACAGUAAUUCGAGGUCACUAAAUUCGACAUAUAAGUUUAAAAAUUUAAUAAAUUAAUAGUUAUGAGUCAAGUGUGAUUUUAAAAAUAUUUUUGAAUUAGUGAAUUUUGUGAUUUUAAAGAAUUUAUUAGAUAAAUUGGGUUGAAAACGAGGAAACGAGACCUCCAUUUCAUAAAUCAAGCCGUAAAUAUUUUUAACGUUUCAUUAGAAAAUUUUAAUGUUUUGAUAGUUAAUAUUUACGGAGUAUUAAUGAGUUAGUAUUAAAGUUUCAUUAGAAAAUUUUAAUGUUUUGAUAGCUAAUUAAUUAAAAAGGAUUAAAUUGAGAAAAGGUGCAAAACUUGUUAAUUAAAGAAAUAAUGACUAAAUAGCUCAAAUAAGAAAUAAAAGGGAUUUAAAGGGAAAAAUAGCCUAAAAUGGAUGGGCUAAAACGGUUAAAGUAGAAAAAAACAAAGAAAUUGGGUGAUUAAGUGGCAAAAUGGGAAAUAUAUAAAAAUUUAAAUAGUUAAAAAAAGGACUUAAUAGAAAUUUAGACAUUUCUUCAUUUUUCUUCAGCCAAAAACACCAUCAAAGAGUUUAUCUAAGCUGGUUUUUCAUAUUCUUGUUACAAGUAAGUUCAAUUUUUGAUUAUUUCUUGUAAAUUUUGUGAUUUUGACACUUUUACAACUAGGUCCAACUAUUGAAUUUAUUAGUUUUUGAUUCUAUGAAUGAUUUUGAAAGUUUCCAUAAAUGAGUGCUAGAAUUUUAUGAUAAAUAAGUAUGGAUUUGAAGUUCUAAUUUUGUUAUGUGAUGAUUUUAUUAAGUGAUUUCAAUAGAAAUUAAUUUUUAGGACCUAAUUGUGAAAAAGUUAAGAAUUAGGGUUUAAUGCUAAAAUUCUGAAUAUCAAAGGUUGUGUAGUAGUUUAGAAUGAAAAAAUAAAGUGUUAAUUAAGAAAAAUUAGUUCAAUUGAAGGGUUAAUUAAUUAGGGACUAAAGUGUAAUAAUUGUAAAAUUUGGAGUAAAAUGUGUAAUUUAAAAAGUUGAAGGGUAUAAAUUGUGAAGUGGAAUGAGAUUGAAACAUAUGUGCUAAUGAAAGAAUAAUUUUAUAUUAUAGAUCAAAAGUCCAAAGAAAAUCGAGGAAAAGAGAAAUUAUUUGAAUAGUUCCUGAGCUACAACAAAUUUUACAAACUAGUCCAAGUAAGUUCGUAUGGUUAAAUUUUUAAUGUUAUUUGUUAAAUUGAUGAGUGGUAUUAUAUAUAUUUAUUCAUUUUUAUUAUUGAAAAUAAAAUAUUAUAGAAAUUAUGAAAAUUGAAUUGAAACAUUUGAAAAGGAUAGAACGCGGGAUUGAGUACAAUCGUUCAGUCAUUAAAGGAAUUGACAGGAAAAUUACACAAGUAAACCGAGAUUCAACAUUUUUUGUGGACUUCUGUGUUUACUUUUCAUUUAGCUCACAUGAGCUUCAGUUAACUCAUAUGGGUUUCAGUUAACCCUAAUGAGUUUUAGUUCAACUCUUAAGAGUUUCAGUUUAAACCUAUUAGGUUUUCAUUCAGCUCUUAUGAGCUUCUGUUCAACCCUUAUGGGUUUCCAUUAGCACUUAUGUGCUUCUGUUCAGCCCUCAAGUUUCAGUUUACGAUGUACUCAUAUCUGUAAGAUGUUCAUUAGUCUAAAAAAGGUUGAUAAUUCAGUAAGUGAUAUUUGAUACUAAUGGUUGAAGAUUCAAAGAUAAUAUUGAUUUUGAGAUUAGAUAAGUGAAUUCAUCAACUGAAAUUGUGGUUGGCAGGAAAUGUGUAAUGAAUGAUUUACUUAAAUGAGUUGUUUUAGUAUGUUUGGUAAGAUUUAUGUUUAAAACCAACGAACUUACUAAGCUUUAUUAAGCUUACUUUAGUUGUUCAAUGUUCUUUGUAGAUUCUCAAGAAGUUCGGAGGAUCGGAUCAACACAUCAGUUCACACUAUCCAGAUAACUCCGGUAGAUUUUCUUUUGAAACUUAAGGUUUAUAUGGCAUGUAAAGGGUUAAAUUUAAAAGAAGUAAACUUGUAAUAUGGUUGAGAGCGGUGCAAAUACAUAUAUGUAUGUUUGUAUGCAUGUACUUAGUAAUAGCCUAUAGUAAUCAAUGAAUGGAAUUAAUGUGAUAAGCUUAUGCAAAUGACUUGUGUGAUGAUAUAUUAGGUCUAAAACUUGAUUAUUGGUUUGUAUUGGUUGCUUGAUUGGGUUAUAUUGGUAUAUGAGAGUGUUGUAUGCAAAUUGAUUGUGAAAAGGGUGAGAAAAAUGGCCUUUAAAUGGCUUAUUUUCGUCCACAUGGGUAGAGACACGGGCGUGUGUUUCAGCCGUGUAUGAAACAUGGCCAUGCACAUGGGCAUGUAGUCUGGCCUUGUGUCCCCUGCAUCUUAAAAUUUAGAAACAUAAUGCUCAGAAUUGAGCACACGGUCAGAGACACGGGCGUGUGUCUCAGCUGUGUGAGGCACACGGCCUAGCACACAGGUGUGUGGCUUUGCCGUGUGAAAAUUGUACUAAUUUUGGGAAAACAAAUUGGCCACACGCCUUAGCACAGGGGCGUGUGGAUUGGUCGUGUGACUCAAGUCAAAGAGUUACAUGGGAUAAGACACGGCCUGAAGCACGGGCAUGUCAUGGGACCACACGGGCAUGUGACCCCUGUACCUAGGAAAAGUUUUGAAAUUUGACGAAAAAAUUUCUAAGUUUUCGGUUUAGUCUUGAUUCAAUUCUGAUACUCAUAUUGGACCUCGAGGGUCCAUUUAAGGGACGUUAUGAAUAAUCUCGGAAAAUGUAUAGUAUUUGACAUGAAUUAUCUAUUAAUGAUCUGAAAACUCUAGUAAUGCUUCGUAACCUUGUUUCGGCGACGGAUACGGGUUAGAGGUAUUAUAGCAUGGGCAUUAUUGCCAAUAUAGGAGGACGUGGGCUCGAGUGCACUGAAACGUAUUAUCCUCCUAUUUAUGGGUUGGGUAGAGACUAUGGGUAGUUUUAGGUAUAUUAUGUCAAAACAAGUAGAUAUAAUUAGAACCAGUAAUAACAUAAAUAUAAUUCACAUACAUAAAAGAAUAAUUAAUUUUAUAAACUUUUUUUUAUUUUUGUAAUAUAUAUUUUUCAUUUAUUCAUUUUUAUUUUCUAUAGUUUAAAAUUUAUUAAUAUUUUUUUAUUUAGUUUUUAGAUGGAUAUCAUUAAUGACACGUGUCAUUGUUUGAUAUUGUCACAUGUCCCGAACUUAACAGUGUUAAAAAAAAAUACCAAACUAGUUAACGGAAAAAAGAAGUUCAGGUACCAAAUUUGGACAAAAAAAACUUUUAAGUACCAAUUUGAGAGAAGUGAAUAAAUUAGGUACCAAAUUUAUAUUUAAGUCUAUUAUAAAUAAAUAAUUUCAAACUAUAAGCCUCUCUUAUGAAUUUUUUAAAAUGAAGAAACUCUAUAGAGCUCAUAAAAUAACGAGUAAAUUGGUACUUACUUAUAGUGUAAGUAUGAAUUAUGAGUGUGUUCUCUAGUCAAUGUGAGAUUUAGGACACUUCAAUUUCUCUAAAGAAAUAAAAUGAUUUUUUAGAGUUUAUUAUUACCAUAUAAAUGCAACUAAUAGAUAAUGAAAAUUAAAGAAAAAAAGAGAAAAAUUUGCAUUAAAAAAAAAAAAAAAGAGAUCGCCACUUAUCAUCAUUAUAUGCUUUUGUACCUUGAUAUAUAUAUAUAUAUAUAUGGUUGUAUUAUCUUUUGUUUUACUCAAUGAUAAUGUAUUGUGUUGUUAUUCACUUCUAAUGCAUGAAACUCUUAUCCUAACAAUACAUCCAAUAUAGUGCCAAAUUUUUAUAAUAAUGUCUCAAAUUUUUGAAGAAGUUAUAAGUAAAAUUAUAAAUAUAAACAAAAUAAUACACAUAAAUAAUUACAGCAAGAACCGAUAAUCGCAAAUCCUAAUUUGAGUGAUAAUUAAAAUAUAUUUAGAUGUAAAUUAGAAUAAAUUUGAAUAGAACACCUACGUACAAUUUAUAAAAAAAUAGCUUUCUGGCCCUGCCAUUUAGAAGGAACAUAAAAAUCUACCUCGCCCUCUAAAACCAAAUCUUAGUAUUGUUGGUGGCGGCAUAGGCCUCCUAGAUGGUUGUUAGUUGUGACCUCUUCAAUAGUAUUCCCCUUUUUUUUUCUUUAAUUUUUAGUUUUAAUUCACUUUAUUUUCUGUGAAAUUUAUGAUAAUUAUUGUUUUAGUCUAUAUUAUCGUAGUUUUUAUUUUUAUUCACUCGGUUUUUGUCCACUCUAUUUGUAAGAAUAUCGCUAGAUCUAUUGGAAACCAUUUUCAGAAGACGUUAUCAUAAUAGAGCAUUGUGAUGAUAAUCGUAAAAUUAGACUUCGAGAUGAGGAGGUGGGUAGGCCAACCUAGACUUGGCCUUUUGUGUAUUAUUGAUGCAAUGAAUCUAUUGGAGUUCUUACCACCAGAGUACAUCAUUAAGUUAAUUUGAUGACGGUGAAACUAAGAUGCAAAUUUCAGCAAUUUAAUAAAUGUGAUUAUCAAAUUAUCUUUCUCCUAUUUUGGGCUUAAUUUAUAUAAAUUUAUAAUAUUUUAUUGAUUACUUAUACCAUGUACCAUGAAUCUAUUUUUCAUGAUUCGAAAGACGACAAAAAAAAUAUAGCUUCCUAAGGCACUUGAGAAUUCCACUAUAGUGGAUGGGAUAAAGUAUCCAUAUAUUUUACUUAAAAAAUAAAUUUUAAUUAAAAAAAUACUGUUUUAAACAUUUUAUUUCAUAUUUUCAAAUAAAUAAUUUUUUUAAAACAUAAAUUUGAGAUGGAUUCAUCGUUAUAAAAAAACUGAAAAAAAAAUUGAUAUGAAUAGGGGCGGAAUCUAUGAUAUUUCAUUUUUUUAUGUUCUCAAGAAAUUUAAUCCCAAAAUCUAAUUUAACAUAAUUACCAAAAAAUAAAAUAACUAUAAUCCUUGAGACCCAAAUCAGUUUUCUUAUCUAAAAAGCCCAUUGUUAACGGCGGGGGCUAAAUAUUGGGCCAACCCUCUCCCAAUAGAUUUUUACCCCCACAAAAGGAAGGUAUAUGCACAGUUUUAAAUGGUGUAUGGGUCAACAUGGAGCGUGGCAAUGGUGGCUUCUUUGAUGGCGUCAUUUGAAGAAAAUGAUGUUAAACGGAGCACACAAAAUGCAUUUCGAAUCCUGUUUAAACCACAGAGGAUUGUUGCUCUUCUGGAUUUUCUUUUUUUGGGGAUAACAGCCAUAGCAGCUGACUCUAGUAUUCACACAAGAGCUACGGGCAUGGCUUCCGAAAAUAGGUUACUACAAAUUUUACAGUACUACUCACCGGCACUGCUGCUUAUCUUAUCUGUUUAUAUUCUAUGAACAAGACAAAAAAGACAGGAAAGAAUCAUGGGCUUAUUCUAAACAGACAAACCAAUCAGCACACCGUUAACUGUUUUGGAUGAACAUCAAUACCCAUACGUCAGUUUUUGAUCAAAAGUUUUCUAGAACCCCCCCUCCCCAAUAAUGUUGUCACCCCCCAACUCUUUGAGAAUCCUAUACUUCCUCGUAAAUAUGCUUUGUUUCUUGUCGGUAGGCCGCACAAAGUCAUUAAACUACUGAAAUUAAGCUUUUCCUUGGGGCCUACUCUGUUUCAAUCUUGAAAUUUAAUCACUUGGAAACCAACUAAACAUGCUCUUUUGCCAAGUCAAAUGAUGGCGAAAUUACUUAUUCACAAAGCAUCUUCCAUUUCCUUUGCUAUUUUGUAACUUUGUACACAAUUUUUUUAUAAACAAUUAUUUCCUCUCAAUCAAAAUUCAAGACAAAACAAAUACAAAUGACCCUUUUUAUCUUACAGAGAUUCAAAACUGAAAAUCUUUUCUUUUUUUUUUUCUUGUGGCAAAAUUUGAAUUGAGUAUUUACAAAGAACGGUAUGGAAUUUGAGGAGGGAUCCUGAAGCGGACCUGAGAAACAGGGGAACGGACGGCGACGCCGUGCCAGCAAAUACCACCCUUGCACAUCUCUUGAACGUGUACGGAAGCGGCGUAAUCGCGAGAAAUCGCGUACGUGGCUUUACGGGAGACGUCCCACGUCAACGUGCCAACCAAGAUGAAACCCACCACCGUGCUCGACACUAUCAGCACGAAGCCGCCACCGAAGCUCCGCCCACAUACUAAACCAUACGCCUUUAUCCCCGCUAUCACUGCCAAGUAGAUCAUCAUCAAAUUCCCAAUCACCGCAUCCGAUAUCGCCAUAUCCCCUCCCACCCUCCUUACCCCCACAAACAAUUCCCCUCUUCCUCUAAUCCUAGCGCUAAUUUUACGGUUAGUAUAUUGUUAAAGAGUUCGCCCUGGGAGUGCUGCUGAUAAAGGAAUAAAAAAUAAAGGAAAAAAAAACAGAAAAUAGUGUGGUGGAACUGUGGGAGAAGGGAUGAUUUAAGUAACAAAAAUGAGGAAUGUGGGGUUGGGGUUUUAAAUUUGGAUUAAAUUAAUAUAUUAAAAAAAAUAUACGGGUUCAAGUAGAUGUUACAAAACGGUAUCGUUGAGGUAAAAGCUUAUCUUUUGGAUGCGAAGGUUUAGGUGGAGGAUGAUGAUAUCUCUUCUUUUUGGGCUUUUUUAUUAAAAUAACAUAAAAAUAUUAAUUAAUUAACAAAAUAAUUUAGAUAAAAAAUUAUUUAAAAAAUGACCUAAUUUCUAUAAUAGUGUCCGUAACAUUAAAUGGUUAGGGACUCGAUGAAGCAAUUGUUUUUUUUAGAUUAAUUGAAAAAAAGAGUUAAAUUUAUCAUCUUUUGAAAUUAAAUUUAAAUAACUUUUAAAAUAUAUAAAAAUAAUAAAAAUAAAUCCAAAUUAUUUUUUAAUUAUUUUAAAAAUAAUAAAAUUAAAGAAUUAUAUAAAAAAUACUUAAAUUACUUAAAUAUAUCCAUCAAUUCUUUUUUUUAAAUUUAUCUAAAUUCAAAUAUUUUCAGUUUAUUCACAUAGUAAUUUUAAUUUCUAAAAUUUUAUAAUUUUAUCUUCAUUCGGGUUAAUGUACUGACCAAUAAACGUUCAGUCUUUAGAAGACAUUGAUUAUUGUAAAUUCCAAGUCUUUUAGGUUUAUUUAUUUAUUGGCUUAGUCUUCUAAAUUCCAAGUCUAUCAUUUAUUGAUUGACGUUUGACAAAUAGGAAAAAAGAGAGCAGUUGUUGAGCCAUUGUAAGUGAAUUAAAGCACGUCAAAAUUGAGUGGAGAGUGGUGUCAAAUCUCAAUCCCAUCAACUAAUCCAAGCUGUUUAAAGUGCCUGUCUUUAUAUGUAAGUUCUGUAGAGGUGGGUUACAAUUUUAUAUCUUAUCUAUAUUAUUUAAAAAUAUUUUAUUUUUUUUAAUUUUAGAAAAUUAAUAAAAAUAUACAUAAUAUGAUAUUUGAAUUCGAACUAAUUGCAUUUAUAAAAUUUUUAUUUACCACUUAAUUAAAAUUUUGUUUUAAUUUUUUAUACCUUUUAUUUCUAUGCACACUUUAUUACUUUUAUUAUUUAUAUAUAUUAAUAAUGUAUUUGAUUGAUUUGGUAUAAUAAAUAAACUUAAUUCCGAUCCAAAAUUAAUAAACAAUUUAAUCUAAUAUUUUAAGUUUCAAUAUCGUACAUAUUUUAUAAGUUAUUAUUAUCAAUUAAUUUCAAGUAACACAUUUCAUUAUCUAUUAUAUAUAUUUUUUAAAUAAAUGUUGGCAUGCUUUAAUCACUUUACCAAACAAAAUAAAAUAAGCGUCAAAACAAAUAAGCCUCUCUAGCUUCCAAAACAAUCAAAAUAGCAAUAUUAAAAAUCCAUUUUCUUCCCUUACAUCCCUAUGCAUACCAGUCAAGAAAAUCGCUUCAACUCUCACCAUAGACUCAAUGACAUGUUCUAAUUUGAAACGAUUCAACGAAAAUGCUAUCGUGACUGUUAUGUGGUUUUGCACAAAUUCCUAUCGUCAACCAUCAUAAUCUCUCGAAUUGCCACUGGUCCCUCCUCCACCCAUCAAACAUAUCGCUUCCGAAUGAAGCCCUCCUUCGCCAACAAGUGAGCCAACCUAUUACCUCCCUUUUUUAUAUGCUAGAAUUUGAAGCUUUCAAAACCCAUUAUAAUUUUUUUAGCUUUCCAGAUGUAAUUACUAACCUCCGAUCUGUCUAUACCUUGCAUUCUGGUCUUUGAAAUAAUCACAAGUGAGUCUCCUUCAACCUCGACUUUUCACAUUUAUUUCCCCCUCUAAAAAUGCAUCCUAAAAAAUGAAGCUAUCAUCUACAAAAAUAAAAUAAAAUUGUGAUACUAUAGGUCUUAAGCGACUCACUUUCGCUCACUUCGCCAAACCUUCUUGACAAGCUAAUUGUAAUAGGGCUGAUAAUCCCUUACUAUGAAAAAGAAAUAAGAAUAGACUCAACAGGUCACCUUGCCCAAGUCCCCUAGAAGGGGGAGAUUUGCCCUCUUUGUACACCAUUCAAAACCACCGAGUACUAGACAAACUUUACACAUCGCAUUACCAACUUGACCAAUGCCUCACCAAAGCCUAUCUUAAGCGCUACCUCCUCAACUAAGUGCCACUCCACUCUAUCAUAUGCCUUCCUUCCUCAUAUCCAAGCUUCAACGCAAAUGAUCCUUUCCGUCCGCCCUUUUUCUUCUUGAAAGAAUGCAAUAAUUUGAAAGCCACUAUUACAUUAUCUAUAACCAACCUCUCUGGUACAAAUGCAUUUCGCGCCUCAUCAAUACAAUGCGACAUGAUCAUCUGCAAUAUAUGAAAAAUUACCUUGGAAAUUAUUUAAAUAAGACAUUACAAUGGCUAAUCGAUCUAAAAUGCAUCAUAUUAACAAUAUUAGGUUAAUUUUGAAUAAGCACUAUAUUAGGAUAAUUGAUCUCUGCCAAAGAUCCGCCAUUAUUCAAUAUAUCAAGGCAAUACUUACAAACAUCUGUGCCAACUAUAUGCCAAAAUUUUUGGUAAAUAAGAGUUGACAUCUUCCCCUAGUGCCUUCGUAGGGUGCAUACUAUGGACUGUCGCCAUUAUCUCCUCCUCUUUAAAUCUUGAUCUCAAGAACUCAUUCAAAUCAUCAGUAACAUGAAUCAAAAUACUUGAAAAGAGUCUCCUAUUAUCUCCUCUACCUUGUGAAGUGGACAACUUCGAAAAAUACUGAUAGGCAAUUUUUUCAAUCCCUUCAUCUCCAACCAUCAUCCGACCAUCCCCAUCCUCAAGUCGAUCAAUAGAUUUCGCCUUUUUGCAUUGAGAAACAAACCUAUAAAAAUGUAUUUUGAUCACCAUUUCUCAACCAAUUGGCAUUUGCCCGUUACUCUCAAUACCUCUCUCCCUUAUCAAUCUCCAAAUUUAAGGCUCCAUUUGUUUGCCAGUAAAAUGUUUUCCGGAAAAUGAUUUCUGGAAAAUGAUUUACUUUUCUGAAAAUGAUUUACUUUUCUAGUGUUUGGAUGAAUUUGUGUAAAAUAUUUUCUGUUAUUUGGCAGAUUUCUUGAAAAUAUUUUUCGAAAAAGUUGUUUUUACAUAUAUUAAUAAAUUUAUAUUUUAAAUUGUUUUUAAUAAAUUUAUACUUUAAAUUGUUUUUAAUAAAUUUAUACUUAAAUUAUUUUUACAUAUAUUGCAAUGAUUUAUUUAUAAAUAAAUAAAUCAAAUUAAAUAUAUAAUAGUACUCAAUUAUUAAGCUAUAAUAUUAACCGUCAUAAAUUGAAAACAACCAAAGUCUAAAUUAUUUGUAAUUGUGUUAUAAAAAAAUAAAAACAAGGAUUGAAUAAUUAUAAAUUAGCUUCCAAAACACAUUUAAUACUAGAAAUUAAUAAUAUUAUCCAAAUGCAUAAUUAGUAGCACACUACAUAAUAACAACAAUAUUGUUCAAGUGUAUAAUUAAGAGGAAAGGAUGAAGCCUGCCUCUAAAACAGAUCAUGAGGAUGGAGCUUUCUCUUUUAGGGAUUCUUUAACUGCAUUUAACAGUAAUGGCAUUAACUUCUGGUUAGUAACAAUGAUGCCUGUGUCCACAUCAAGAUGCUUUCCCUUAGAAAAAUCCAGGGGCUGCCCUGCAGCAUCUGUGACCACACCCCCAGCUUCUGCAAAUCAUGAGUUGCAAACAGGUGAAAGGGCAGAAAAAUAAACCAAUGUCAGCCAACUACUCCUUAGCACUUUGAAAGAAAGCCAAUGAUGGAGUGAAAUUGGUCCAUACCAGUUACAACAAUACACCCAGUAGCAUGAUCCCAUAUUUUCUCUCGAUACCCUUUGUGAGGAAAACGCAGAUAUAUGGCUCCAUCUCCUCUGGACAGGGCACCAUAUUUUGCCUGACUGUCAAUUCUAACCGGCAGUGCUUUGACACCAAGUUUCUGUUUACAUCUCAACAUUUUCAGUGCAUUAUUCAUGUGCUGGUCUAUAUGUGUCUGUGUGUGUGUAGAGAAAGAGAGAGGGGGAGUACUUGGGCAAUCAAACUAGAUAAAUCAUGCAUGGAGUGUGCUGCUUCAUAUGACUCAAAGAAUGAUGCUUCUUCAGGAUUUUCAACAGCACUUACUUGCACCUGAAACCCAUAAAAUUGUACAAGUUGCAAAUACGUACUCAGAUUAAUAGUAAUAAAUUAUAAAAUCAUUAUAACCUUCACUGCCGAAGAACUAUCAAGUGGCUGCAUAUAAGUUCCACCACCAACUUUAGCAAAGAAAAGGCAGCCAACUUCUUUUACAGCAAAUUGUAAAGAAAUCCAUUCAUAACAUAUAUCAAAACCAAGACAGACUUGUGGUUUAUCUUGCAUGAAGUACUGUUUAGGUAGCCCCUUUUUCUUGCUCUCUAAUCAAUCCUUCUAUACUAAAUAACAGAAGAUUGGAAGCAAAUCUAAACAUCUCCCUGCAGCAGUCAUGGCUGAGUUAAAGACCGAAAAUAAAAGUUACCACCUCAUGUUGGAUAAGGCAUAUCGUAAACAACAAGCACUUAGUGGACAUGAAUCAUUAUUAUAGCAGACACCAACUUAUUUAUGACUAAAAUAAAAUCACUUAUGUUAAAUAUAAAGUUUCAGAGCUCACCCUUUAGUACCAUCUAUAGGAUCUAAAACCCAAUGUCAACCUUGGCAACCACCUUUAGAUAUGCCAUUGUCAAUGGCCUUGAGAACGUCUUUUGUGGAUAAAGUAACAUUGUAUGAUCCAUCACUAGUUAAAGAAUCGUUCACAAGUUCUGUAAUGUGCUCUACUAUUCCUGGGCACCAUCUUUGCGAAGAUCUUUAGAAUCCUAAAGAGAAACCAAACAUUAUUUAGAAGGAAAGAAGGAUUCUAUGAUGUUAAAAAGAAAGAUGGCUGAUGGAUGCUGCUGAAACUAUUAUUCACAAGUACAGAGAUUCACCUCCUCGGCAACUAAUAAGGAUUCUAUGAUGUUAAAAAGAGCAUUGCAUCCAAUAGAAACUUUUGCUCAAUGGAAGAAGGGAAACAUCAUUCAACUUUGUAAAUUCCCUAGUAUAACAAAUUGUGAAAAGAAGGAAAAACUAAUUCCUAGUAACAUGCUAGCAAGAAGGAAGAAGCAAGUAAAUCAUCAGGGUAAAAAAAAUGGGAACCCAUUUCAAAUCCAAGAUACAUAUUUCUUAAAGGGGAUUAAAAGACUGGUAAUGUUGGGUGAAAGAACCAAAGAGGAAGCAGCAGUUUAGAAACAAACCAUAAUCAGCUACUGUUACAAGAGUUUUAUCAGUUUUGGAUUGAACAUCUGAUUGCAGCAAAGCCUUUUGUACAUUCUACAGAUUAAAACAAAAACCCCAAACCCAAAUUCAGCUUCUAUAUAUAUAUACAGCUUGACACGAUGAAAUAUAUCACAGACCAAACCAAUGAUAAAAUCAUCUGUAUAUUUUCCUUUUGAAAUUAAAGAACAAUAAUGCCUUCAUUAAUCUAAAUUGCAACAUUGAUGCAUAUGACAUGCCAAACUGAAUAAAUUGACUAAAUAACAGAUUUUCCAGCUGUGUGAUAUUAGUGUCAAUAAAUCAUGGGAUGGUUUUCACAAUGUAACAUUCUUACAUCCAUUCAUUCAAUAAAACAUGACAGAACAUAAGUAAAUUUGUUUGCUCCUGACAGAAUCUCAAUAGAAAACAAAAUGAAGCCAAUAUUGGUCCCUUAAAAAGAUCCACAAUCUUCAAAUAAAACAUGGACAAAAUCAUGAGAUAAACAAAUGAUAAAAUGCUCAGUACAAAAAUAUGCAACUUGUUUAAUUUUUCUAAUGCGAACAGUGCAGAUAAGCUACCACUUUGUUAGCUUACAAUUAUCCAACAUAUAAUUGAUGGUAAUUUAUAUCCAUUAAAAGAGAACCUAAUAACGAAAUGAGCAAUGAAACCAACCAAAUCCCCAAAAGGAAAAUCCCCAAAAAAUUGAUAACAUUAUUAACACUGUUCAAAUUAGAUUAAAAAGGGCAUUAAGCUGAUAAUCAUAAUUGAAACAAAAAAUUAUCCUAUAAUGCAACACUAAAAGGAAAAGCUGAAACUAGGAAAAGAGAAAUAGAUCAAUAAAAGGGGAAAAAAAACACAAUGAUGACCUGAUAAAAGACUUGCCAUUGAGAUGAUUUUCCUCAGGAGAAGGCUUUUUGUCAGUAUCAGCGUGAAGCUUUGAAGCAUAAAGGCUUUCGUUUCCACCAUGCAAGAAGAAAGAACUAGAACGGUGAAGAAAGCUUUGGUUUUGAUAUUCAUAGAUGGAAGCACCCACUUGGUUUAUGGCAAAGCAGCUGGAAUAUAUUAAUACUACAACUGUGAGUUUCUGAAAAUACCCAUUUCCAAUCAGAUCAUAAGAUAAACAAAUGAAUUUUCUAUUGUUGCCCAUCAAAAACCAUCGUUAAUGAAGUAUGGAAAUUGUCAACGAAAAGCCUAAUAGAAGAAGUAGGAGGAAAGUACCUGGAUGGAGAAAAAGGAAGAUGGAGAACUGCGCAAGGGGGAAAGACUAGUGAGAAUUGGAAAAUAUCUUAGGGAAAAAAAAUCUGUAAGACAUUUUCCCUAAAAGCAUAGGCAUUUUACCCGAGAUUUUGAAAACAUUUUCCCCAUGUAAAAUGUUUUCAGUCAAACAAACACCAGAAAAUCAAGAAUGUUUUCCAGGCAAACAAAUACACCCUAAUUAUAUUUUCGUGUUGACUAAUUCUUCCAGCACCUCAUCAGCUAGAGACUUACUAUUUAGUUCAUCUAAUCGAUGCUGUAAUUUACUCAUGGUCAUCCUCGAAAUUGCCUCACCUCCUUUGCCCACCUCAUUAACACAAAACCCUCCGAAUCAAUCUAUAGCUGUCAUACCUCCUCCUCACAUAACUCUUCAAGUAUCCAAGCCAUUUCAAAUUUAAAGCUACGGUACAUAUUCUCUUGCCUCUCAACCAAACUACAAGUGUUAAGUAAUUGUGGGCAGUGAUCAGAUACCGAUUGCAUACAAUGUUUAAGGCUAUAAUUCAGAAAUAAAUCUCACCACUUCGUUAUUACUACCCCUCUAUCAAGCUUUUCUCAAAUGUUAUUUUGAAACAAUUUUCCACGCUUUCACAUAAACCAUUGGCCUUUGUAUCCCACAUAUAAGAGAUCAGUCAUCAAGAGCAAACCUAAAAGCUUCCGUACUCCUCUCAUCUCUUAAUCUCCCCCUUUGCUUCUCAUGAGAAUACACUGUCUCAUUGAAAUCACCCAUAAGUAACCAUGGUUCAGUGCUUUUCGCUGAAAGUUUUCGUAGUAAAUUCCAUGAUUGAUGCCUUAAAUUUUCCAGUAGAUGCCCGUAGAAACCAGUAAACUGCCAGUGUUAUCCUCUAUGUCACCCUCCACCAUCAUAUUAAUAUGGUGCAAAGAGAAGCUACGUAACAACACCUUACACCCUUGUUUCCAACAUAAUGAUAAUCCACCAUUGUAUCAUCACUACUCACAUAAAUUCCUUCCACAAAACUCCAACUCUUUCAAACUUUCUCCAUCCUUGAACUUUGUAACUUAGUUUCCAUAAAGAAAGUCAUCUCGGGAUUAGUCUCCUUUAGCAUGUGCCGAAGGCAACGAAUAAUCCGGGGGUUCCCUAUUCCUCGGACAUUCGAACUUAAUAGUUUCAUUGUAUCUGGCUGCCCUACCUCUCAAAGCCAAUCGAUAUCUCAGAAAUAUGAACUACGAGGUUGUUUCUUUCCUUCUCCAACCUCUAUCGGACAAUCCUCCUCCUCCAGAUCCCUAUUCGAAUCCAUGUUUUCCUCCCCUCUGAUUUCACUUGUUUUCUUUCCUCCCAUAUUCAAUCCUAAUUUUGCAUUAACUUCUCUAAAAUCAACAUUUCUAAAAAGACCCUAUAUAUUCAUUUACCCACCCUCCUCCUCCUUACCGAAUGCCUUUCCCAGAUCACUAAGUCGUGGACCUUCCCCUUCUUCAUGUAACUAACUUGACGCUACCAUUGCUCAUUUUGCAAUUGCUUUAAUUAAAAGAUCCCAUUCAAACACCAUUUUUUUUCCUGAACAAUCCUCACUAGGCAAAAUCUCUUCAAAUGCCCUAACCAUUCAUACAGGAAACAAAACACUAAUAAUCUUUCAUAUUAGAAUCGAGCAUAUAUGUAGCUUUUGUUACCCAAAACAAUCUUCUUCCUUCUAUUUAGCAUAUUCCUCACAUCAAUCUGUACCCUAAUUCUCAUGUAGCUUCGAUAGCCCAUACUUAUGGAUUUAGCGUCAUAAUCUAAAAAUUGCCCAAGGAAAUCACCAAACUAUUUUGCCAUCACCUUAGACAUUAAACCCAUCAACAGAUCAUGAACCUGGAUCCAAAUUCACUUAAAACAACGGUACAAACAAUGGAUCUUCCCCUACCUUUAAUUUUUGGAAAAUCAACAAAUGAUUAUUAAACGUCCAAGGGCUUCCUUCCAAAAACCUAUCCAUGUCAAUCUCAAAAUAGAGCUUGAAAAAAAAAACUGAUUUUCCCCCAGAUUUGUAAUCGUCACUCCCCCAAGAGGAUGCCAUAAAUUAGAUAGGGUUGUACGCACAACUUGGAAUUGCACAACACUCGCAAUUAGGAAACUGCCCACUACACUCAAAUUUCCCCCUCCCCCUCCCCCUCCAAUCCCUCUUCCAAAUCGAUCUGCCAAGUCUCAUCUUCUCCACUAGAAAUAGACAAUAUCGCCAUCUCUUCCUCUAUUUCACUACCGCCAUCUCCAAUCCUAUCCUUGCACCCUUCGCUGCGCAAAGGAACUGCUAAACAAAGAAACCCACUUUGACAAAAAACUCAAGAUAUAUGAUUUUUAAUGUUCUAUAUUUAUAGUUUCUACAUACUCAAUCUAUUUUGAUAUAAUAAAUAAGGAAUUCAAUUUUUUACUUUUUACGAAUCUAUAUUAUAGUAAAAUUUUUCACAUUACACAGAUUUGAUAGAAAAGUGAUUUAGAAUUACUUUUUAAACAAGUAAGAGUUAUAAUGAUAUUUUAUGUGAAAGGUUUAAAAAAUAAAUAAAAAUCACUGCUUCAAAAUAAUAAAAAUAAAUAAAUGCCAACCAAUGGAACUUGAAAUUGAUAAGGAUUUAUAAAUAAGUAGUAAUUUAACACUUUACCUACAAUGUAAUUAUUGAAUUUUUUUUUAUAAAUAUAUUUUUAACAUUAAAUAGUUUAUUUUACAAGUAGAUAUGAUUUAAUCUAAUAUAUAAAAGAAAAAAAAUGUCUAGUUUUUUAAGAAAAAAAUUGGACAAGUUUCAAAUUAUUUAAAAAAUUAAAAUGACUUCUUUUAAGGAAACCCAUCAUCAUGAAAUUAAUAAAAAAAAAAAAUUGACACGUUUCACUAUAUGUAAUCAAAAGAACAUAAGUUUAAGUUGUAAAAAUAAGGAUCGAGUACAUGUAUCAGAGAAAGGGUAAAAAAUUUAGAUUUUGAAUAUAUUAGUUAAAAUUUAGUUUUAGUCUUUUUAAUACACUCAAAUUUGCAAUCUGUUUUGUGCACUUUAAUUUAGUGUAAAACUGGAAACUGAUUUUAAUUUUUGACUAAUUAAUUAUAAUGAACUAUUUUGACUAACUCCAAAAUUUGACAAAUAUAUUCAAAAUCUAAAUUUCUUCUAUCCUUUCUCCGCUACAUCUCUCCUUUUCUUCUUUAAGUUGUUCUGAUUUCCUGAAUAAUUCAAAACCUUGAUUUGCUUUUCCUAAUCAACUUUUCUUUUUCUGGAAAAAAAUUUGGUUAUCAUUCAUGGUAUUUUAGCAUUUUAUAUUACGUGCAUUUCAUCUCUUUUAUUAAAAAAUAUGUAAAUCAAUUUAUACGAACAAAUUAAUUCUUUAUUAAAAAUUUCAUUCUUUGUAUGUCGACAUGAGAUACAUAUGACAUGUCACAUACGUCAAUUUUUAACAAUAAAAAUAAAUAAAAUUUUUAAUUAAAAGAUUAUAAUGACAGAUUUACUCUCUUUUUUAAUUAUUAAAAAACAAUACAAUCUGACUCUAAACUCUUUACUUCCUAAAAGAGUUACUAAUUCUGCACGUGGUUUUUUUUCCAAUUCGGAUAGAGAUACAGGGUAAACAUAUCUUAAAACCUACACAUAAAGCCAACUUUUAUACCAUUUAAGAAGACAUUAAGUAUUUAAUACAAUCUUUCUAUUUCAAAUUUUAUUAUUAUAUAAUUUACGACAUUAUAAUAGUUUUAACUCAAAGCAUCAAGUUAAAUUCUCAUUUUUAAUACUUCUUUUAUACAAUGCCAAUUUUUAUCCAUAAACUACAGAAAAAAAAACACGCAUAAACACAGUCAAAUUCACUUCCUCCUGCAUUCGUUUUAGAUAUCAUGCAAUAAAAAGGGUAUAUCAAAACAGGGUGGUGGAUAUUCUUCACAUCUUGUUAAUACAUGAGUGCAGUUUAACCAUGAAAAGCAGAAGAGGCGUGUAUGGUAAACAAGAAAUGCUUGCCAUCAAAACAUAAAAAAAUUUCAUUUAACAAGAGAUGUAUGUAUAUAUAAAAUAAAUUAAAAAAAAAAAAAGUAAAACACAAAACAUACCACCUGCUGAUGCUUUCACAGAAAUCCCUAAAAUUUCAGUUUAAGAAUUGAGACUAUACAUGAUGGGCUUACUGCUUUCCUUGAAUAAAAAGAACCCAAAAAAUUGACAGUGAGAAGAGAUACGAGUCGCGAGAAGCCGACAGGUCCUCCAUCUUCGUCAGACUUGAAUGUUCCAUUGAUCAUAAUAUCGAGCAACCAACAUAUGACUUUUUCUUCUUAAUUUUUUUCGGAGGCUGGAGCACUACCUUAAUCGCUGAAUCAAAGACUGCCUUCACAUUCUGCAGUAAAGCAGUCACACAAAAUCUCAUGGGAAAUAAAAAACAGACUUCCACAGGUUCUCGGUUAACAAAAUAUGAAUAAUGUAUAUAGAGAAUAUGUAACCUGCUGUGUUUUUGAACUACAUUCGACGUAGGAAGGGGAUUCUAUCUGUUUCCUUAAUUCCUCUCCCUCAAGAAAAAGCAAUGCAACACAGAUAUUUUAAAUAAAUGAGACACAUUCCACACCAUAAAAAAGAAAGAAGAAACAAAAAAGAAUUAAUAUCGUUUAAAUAUGUACCUGAGCUGCGGAUAUAGGCGUUGAACCUGGAUGGUCUAUAAAGAAUUGCUCAUCAUCCCGAAGAUCUGCAGCCAGAGGAAACAAGAGACCGUUUGACGAAACCAAAAGAAUUUCAUCAACAUUGGUAUAAAAGGAUACAAUGAUUUAAGUCUUGUUUGUGAAUUGCAUGUGGCAAUGACACGUGGAUUUCAAGUCCAUUGGCACUAUGCCCAAGGUUCAAACGUGGUGCUCCAACCCAUCCCAUCCCUAAAUAUAUAAUUUGUAUGCUUGUUUCGAUACUCUAUUAAUUUGAGAAAGUUUUCAAACCAAAUGCAAUUCACAAAAAAGACUUAAAUCAUGUAAAAGAAUACCGUUGUCCUGGGAAUAAGAAUCAUACCAAGCUUAGUUCCAACAAGUACUAUUGGAACACCAGGUGCGUAAUGCUUUAAUUCAGGAAUCCACUGAAAUGGAGAGGAUGAAACACACAUGAAAAUCAGGCACAUGCAUUACAGAUAUACUGAACCAAAUUAUUAUCUAAAAAGAGAAGAUAUUCGAUGUUUAAACCUUCUUAGCAACGUUUUCAUAACUGGCCUUGCUGAUGAGAGAAAAUGCAAGAAUAAAUACAUCAGCCCCACGAUAGCUCAGUGGUCUUAAUCUAUUGUAAUCCUCCUGACCUGUUUCAAGACCAUGAUUUCAGACCCAAAGGCAAGAAAUAAAACAAACUUAAUAAUAGAAGAGGAAUUUCAGAAACUAAUUUUCCAAAUUACCGGCAGUAUCCCAUAAACCUAAGUUGACAGUGCUACCAUCCACAACAACAUUUGCACUGAAAUUGUCGAAAACAGUCGGCACAUAGUCCUGUUACCAGAACAAUGUAAAACCAAAAAAAAAAAAAAAAGUUUGCAGAAUCAGUACCAAAAUAAGCUAUCCCUCACAAAAGAGCACAAAGCCCCAAUCUUGGUUUAAAUUUACUGCGAAAAGAUGUGGUUGCACCUGAUCUGCUUACAUUGUGAGACAUUAAAACAAACCUUAACAGCAUUUAUAAAAGACAGCAUAAUUUUCCGAGGAAAUUCAAAGUUGCAAAAUACAGAACCAAGCUCACACAAACGUUAAAGAAUUCUUCUUUCACUUAUUCGGAAACAAUAAAUACACGCACACACACACACACAUGUUCAGCUAAUAUUAGAUUAAAAGCGCAGAUAAAUCAUGAGAUCAUGCAACGAAGAUGAGGAAAAUGCGGGAAAGAGGCUGACCGUAGGAAAAGUAUUACUCGUGUAGGAAAUCAGCAAGCAAGUCUUGCCGACGGCGCCAUCGCCGACGGUUACACAUUUUAUGAAUCUGGAGGCGCUCAUUUCCCUUCGCCGCCGUACGGAAAACCGCCUAAAGCCUGCUUUACCCGUCUCUCGGAUAUAUAUAUAUAUAGUUUUCCUCCAAUAAAAUGAUAUUCUCAGAUAUGGUUGACGGUGUUGUUGUUGUAGUUAAGCAAAGAAUGAGGAUCCAUAGGCCUCAUCAUUUGUCUCCACGAGGCAAACCCUAAGGAGCAGAAAGAUUGGAGAGAAAAAUGCAAAGUUAAAACGAGAGAGAAAAUGUGGAGAAAGAAAAGGGGGGAAAUGUGGCAAAAUGAAUGGAAGGAAAUUUGGAGGAAUUUAGAAUAAAUCACAAAUGACGAUUGCGGUUUAAGCGUAAGCCUCUAUUAACAACUCCUUUUUCAUCAUUUACCCCUUACUAUUAAUAUCAUCCUUUUCACAUUCCAAUAACAUCGUCCUCCUCCUCCUCCUUCUCAUCAUCAUCAUCUAAUAAUUAAACAAAAUUAGAUCAUUUGUUAAUUUAGACGAAUGGAUCAAUAAUUCGCAUGAUUCAGGUUGAUAAUUCAUAUAGUACUUUGUUUUUUUUAUCAUUAUAAUAUUAAUAAUAAUAAUAUUUAAAUUCAGCAACAUAAUUUUGAUCGAUUUUUCCAAACAAAACUUCACAAUUCAUGUUAACACCAAAUUUGAGUAAAUCCCACGGAAUGUUUCCUUCUCCUUUUUUUCAUAAUCCCGCAUCUAUAACCAUUUUUAAUCUUUUCGAGUAUUUUUUGAAAGGAUAAAUAAUUGAUUAUAAAAAUAUGUUCUAUUCUCAGUAAGUAAGUGAAUAUUAAACUUUAAAUAUAUAGUUAAAAAAAUAAAUCUAGCAAUCACACUACACCUCAUUUAUAGAAAGCUUUAGUUGAUAAACUUCCUUUGUAUAGAUAAUGAUUUUGCCUCCGAUGAGAUUAAGAAAAAUGAUGCGCUGUGCGUUUGGAUUCAACUGCAACUGUAGCGACGAAGUAAAAAUAAAAAAUGACUGUUAAGAACAUUAUAUUAAAAAUAAAUAUAAUAUAAGUUUUAGAAUAUCUUACUUUUAUGAAAUUAUUAAAAUAAUAAAAUAAUAAUGUGUAUCAUAAUAUUUUUAUAAAUAUUUUAAUUAUUUGUUUUAUAUUUAUUUUAAAUUAUUUAUUAUAUUAAAUGAUAAAUAUUAUUUAUUUCUAUUUUAAUUCAUUUCUUUAAAAAAUUACAAGUAUUAUUUUUAAAAAUAAUAUAAUAACACCAUCCUUUUGUCUAAAAAGAUUCAUCCUUGGAUAAAUUUUUAAAGAAUUUACUUGGAUUUUUUUAAAUACAAGAAAAUAUAUUAAUAUUGGAAAUUGGAAAUUAUAAUUUUAUUAAUAAAAAAAUAUGGAUAAAAUAUUUUUGAACUUUUUUGAUUGAUAUAAUUAUUUAUUAUUUAUUUAAAUAAUUAUUUAGCUUAAUCCUAAUGUAUUGAUAAUGAUUUUAUAAGUACUUUUAACGAUAUUUAACCUAUAAAUUUUUUUAGUAUUAACAUAUAAAAAUUUACUUUAAAAAAACCUAUGAAAUUUUGAUAAUGUCAUUUAUAUGUUCAUAUAAAGUUUUUAACUAAUGUAUUUUUAUUUUUAUUUUUAUUUUGUAAUUCAAAUUAAAAACGCACUUCUAUAUGAGCAAUUACAAAAGAAGCUAAUAACCUUCAGCAUCGAAAAACAUUAUAAAAGGAAUGUUUUUUUUCUAAACCCACUUUACCAAAUUACACCUUUUUGCUCGAGUUAAAAAUAAAAUUGUACAUUGAUGCAAAAUUUUAGGACUUGAUUCAAUUUUAAAAAUAAGCUUAAAAUUUUAUUCAAGUUCCACUUAAAUAAAAAAUAUUAAAUCCAAAUACGAUCCAGCUCACCCGUUUUAAUUUUUUAUAUAAAAAUAAAUUUUAAAAAUAUAAUACAUUAAAUAAACUAAAAAUAUGUUAAGCAAACUCGGGCCAAAUUAGGUUUGGGGCUAAAAUAAUUUUAUCCAAAACCCAAGGACCUUAUUUUUUAUUUAAACUUAUUUUUCACAUUUAUAUUUUAUUUAAACCCUCUUACUUUCCAAACAAACUAACCCUAUUCAUAUCCAAACAAUACAUAAACACCAGUUGAAGUGAUUUUCUGCAUAGACAGAUGUGAACCAAAUAUGCUUCACUUUCAUGUAUCCUUCACUGAGAAAAAAAAAAAAGACCGAAUGGCAUGUAGCCUGGGCAGCAAUUAAAGCUUUUGCCUAUUAGUUCUAAAUGGCACAAUUGUAAAUUUAUUUAGACAUAAUAAUAUUUUAAUCCUUCAACUUUUCUCUAAAAAAAUAAAUUAGCUUUUUAUAUUUUUUUCUCUCUUUUAAUCUUUAAAUAAUAGUGUUUGGUGAAAUUAGUUAAUUUUUAUCAAAAAAUUUUAACGAGGCCGUUAAAACAUGACGUGGCAUCCGCAUGAGUAUUUUUUAAUCCAACAAAACUCACGUGUUUUUUUUUCUGUUUUUUAACCUUUUCUAUCUUCGUAAUUUUUUCUUAUUUCUUCUUUUCUCUUCUCCUUCUCCUCCAUAGAAACCCUAGCCACCUAUUUACCGCCACCGCUUCCAGUGCCGUCAUCGAUCUUUUUCAGGUGACAGGUGCGCUCUUCCCUUCUCCCUCUUUCUUCUCCUUUUUCCUCCUAUUUUCUUUCGAUCCUAGCCCUAGGACUUAUUUGAUCUUUUAGAGAAAGGUUAAGUGCUAAAAGUAUCAUUAUGCAAUUUAUUUAUUCCUAAAUAUUAACAAUUUAGUUUAGUCCAUUUUAGUUUCUUUUGGUAAAUGAUUUUUUUUUCAUCAACGUUAAAAGAAAUCAAUUUAGAUAAUUUAACGCAAAAAGUUCAGAUUUUUCUUUAAUUCUAUCUCAUUUCUGUGGAGGUUUUGUCAACAUGUAUUGCGAGGGGAGACCCUAUUGGAAGCAGAACAAUUGGUGGCUUUAUUCUUCUUACAUAAAAUUCUCCCACUAACUUGUUUAACAGAACAUGAAUUUACAGUAUAUUGACACCUGGGAACUGGCAUCAAUGCUUGUCUCCCUUCUCACUCUGUGCCUCUCAUAAUCUACAAAGCAACCAUUUUAGUUUUUACUUAUUACACCAUUAAAAAUUAGUAAUUUAAAUUUAAAUUAAUCCUAAUCACUACUCUACUAACAUAAAUAUUAUUAAAUUUUAUAUAUUAAAUAAAUAUGUAAAAUCUUUAAUAAAGAGAGUGAGUAUUCGAUCGAAAAGUUUUGAAUUAAUCGAGUUUAUAAAUCAUAUUUUAUUAUUUUAAUUUAAUUUAAAAUUUUCUUCGAAUCAAAUUAAGUGAAAUAAUCAAAUAUAUUUGUUUGAAUUAAAUUUAAAAAAUAAGUAGAAUUUUUUAUUUUUAUGUAAUUUUUUAGAAAAUAAUUUUUUUAGGUUUUGAAAAUAUUUUGGUGAUAAAGGAGAGAAAAUAAAAGAUUUUUGGGUAAAGAGGGAAGAAAUAAAAAAUUUGUGGGGAUUUUUAUUUUUAAGUAAAAAGGGAAGGGAAACUAAAAAAUUUCCAAGAGAAGUGGGGUAAAGUGUUGAUGGGGAGGAAAUUUUUUUUUUUUUUUUGAAAAAGAUAUUGGAAUAAUUAAAAAAAAAUCGAUUUAAAGUUGCUUUUGAGCAUGGGAGUUUCAUAUUUCAAGCCUUGGAAGUAACCAGCGGUUCACUUUCCACUUAUUCUGUUUCUCUAAACAAAGAGAGGGAAAUGAGAAGCUUCUACAGUUACCUUCUUCUCUAUAUUUCCAUGAUUCUUCUACUAUUCUGUACCAGCACCAAGGGUUACAGUGAUCUUGAAGUCCUGUUGAAGCUCAAGUCUUCCAUGAUUGGACCCAAAGCUUCAGGGGUAGACGACUGGGAAUUCUCAUCGUCUCCAUCAGCGCAUUGCCAUUUCUCUGGAGUCAAAUGCAACGAGGAUUACCGUGUUGUUGCUCUGAAUGUGUCGUUUGCUCCCCUCUACGGCACCAUAUCUCCCGAGAUAGGGCUUCUGAACAAGCUCGUGAACCUCACCAUUUCUAAGGUUGAACUUACGGGGAAUAUUCCUACGGAGAUGAGGAAUUUGACUUCUCUCAAGACAUUCAACAUCUCUAAUAACUAUUUCCGGGGGAGUUUCCCUGGUGAAAUUCUUACAGGUAUGACACAGCUUGAGAUUCUCGAUGCUUAUAACAAUAACUUCACUGGCCUUCUCCCCGUUGAACUCGCCAACCUGAAACAUCUGAAGCAUCUGUCUUUCGGAGGCAACUAUUUCACGGGAGAGGUCCCCGACAAGUACUCCGACAUCCAGAGCUUGGAAUACUUGGGUCUAAAUGCCAAUGAUUUAACUGGGAAAAUCCCUGCCUCCUUGGGUCGUUUAAAAAACCUUAAGAGCUUGAUCCUCGGAUAUUUCAACGCCUUCCAUGGAGGAAUCCCACCUGAGUUUGGGUCCUUAACUCAACUCAAAAUCCUCGACAUGGCAAGCUGUAACCUAACCGGUGAGGUUCCCGAGAGUUUGGGUAAUUUGAAACGCUUGCGUACAUUGCUCCUUCAACAGAACUCCCUCACUGGUCGGAUCCCUUCCAAACUCGCUGGUUUAACUAGCUUGAAGGAUCUUGAUCUUUCCUUGAAUGAACUAACGGGGGAGAUACCAGAGAGUUUCUCUGCCUUGCAGAACAUUUCUAUGAUCCUUUUGUUCAAAAAUAAGCUCCACGGUUCAAUUCCGUCAUAUGUAGGUGACUUACCCCAACUCGCAGGGCUUAAACUGUGGGAAAACAACUUCACGGGUGAAUUGCCGGAGAAUCUUGGCCGCAAUGGGAAGCUCUGUAAUCUUGACGUUUCUUCGAAUUACCUCACCGGGUCAAUUCCACUAGAUUUGUGUAAGGGAGGGACGUUACAGGCGUUGAUUCUGAUGGAUAAUUUCUUCUUCGGUCCACUCUCUGAAAAACUCGGCAACUGCAAAUCUCUUACUAAGAUUCGUAUCAAGAAAAACAAUCUCAAUGGAACGAUUCCGGCCAGAAUUUUCAACUUGCCCUUGCUGAGUUUCGUCGAGCUAGACCAUAAUUUCUUCGCCGGUGAACUCCCACCGCGAAUGUCAGGUGAUUCGCUUGAAAUGUUAAAAAUCUCAAACAAUUUGAUCAGUGGUGAAAUCCCUCCAGCGAUCGGAAACUUGCGCAGUUUACAAGUUCUGGAGAUUGCAAGGAACAAACUUUCAGGCGAAAUCCCAGAGCAAAUAUUCGAAAUCAAGGUACUUUCAAAGAUAAACAUCAGAAACAACAACAUCACAGGUGAAAUCCCUCCUUCGAUCUCUCGCUGUACUUCGCUCACUUCAAUCGAUUUCAGUCAGAACAGUCUCAGCGGUGAAAUCCCAAAAGGAAUUAACAAGUUGGUACAUUUAAGCAAUCUCAAUGUCUCCAGGAACCGGUUAACAGGUGAAAUCCCUGCUGAAAUCGAGAACAUGACGAGCCUCGCAACACUUGAUGUUUCGGACAACAAUUUGAUUGGAAGGGUCCCCAGUGCUGGCCAGUUCUUAUUCUUCGACGAUAGCUCGUUUAGUGGAAACCCCAACCUCUGUCCCUCGAACGAUAGUCAUUGUCCAGCUAGAGGUUCAAGCCAUGGUCACGCACCAUGUUUCGCUGCUUCCAAGCUCAUAAUCACAAUCAUUCUGUUAAUCAUACUAGAGGGAAACUAGAGUUUGGAGUCCAACCAGCACAAAGGAUGUUAAACCUUAUAAAUGUAUACGUAAUUCGUGUAUUAUAAAAUAUACUAGGUUAAUGUAAUGUGGAGAUGUUACUUCACUUCCAACUUCCUUGAUUUCCAAACUUUAUCAAGCUUGGUGUUGUACUAAAAUUUGGGUUGGGAAGAUUUACUGUGGUGUCUACGGACGUCGCAACAGCAUGCAUGGUUUCUUCCCUCUUGUUACUUUAAAGGUUUUAUAAGAUAAAUGCCCUAAAAUAGUCAAAAUAUCACUGAGUUUAUAAUCCAAUCAACUCCAUUUAGCAACUUAUGGAAUAUAGUCGCAGUUUGCAACUGAUGGAAAAAAAAAUGGUAACUAAUUAGGGUUUAACGUGGAAAGUUUAAUUGAUUUUUUAAAUUAUUCAAGUUUAAUAAUUAUUAAAAUAUUAUAAAAAUUAUAGAAAAACUAUAAAAAUUAUAAUAAAAAAAACUAUUAGAGAUUAAUCAAUAUUAUCAAUAUGUUAUGGAAAUAUUAUAAAAAAUUUAGAAACUGUAAAAAUUUUAUUAAAAUAUAAAAAUAAGGGACAUAUUUGGUACACUACCAAAGAAAUUUAAAAAUUCCAUAAGUAAGAUUGGGUUAAUGACAAGUGUAUAUAGGGUAUAUAAAAAAAACAGGGCACAUAACAAAUAUAUAAUUCUGCUUGUAGAGUUAAAAAAAAAGGCACAACCAAUUUACCAAAUAAUUCACUCAAUAAAUUAUAAAUAAAUAUUAUAGAAAAUUUUUGUUGUUUUGCAUGUUUGGGAUCUUUGGUUUUAGUAAUAAGAGAUUGGGGAGCUUAAAGUGUGAUGGUGAUCAUGCUUGUAUAGGGUGCUGGCUAAGGAGUUUGAGUGACAAUGAAUUUAGUAUUUGGUGGCUUAAAAUGAGUGAUGAAUAAUAGUUUUGGUCGAAGAGAGGUGAUGCAAGGAAAGAUAAAUUUAUAUCAUAAAUUAUUAAAUAUUAUAAAAAAAUAAAAUAGAGAAAGUAGAAAAAAUAUAAAUCAUUUAAAAAUUUAUUGAAUAUUAUAAAAUUUUAAAAAUUACUACUUUUAUAAAUUUUCAUGAUAAAAAAUCAAAGUACAUUUAAUAUUCAUGAUAAACAAUUAUAAUACUUUUAUAAAUUUUCAUGAAAAACAAUUAGAGUACAUUUAAUAAAUUUUCAACUGAACGACCUUUUCUGUAAUUCUCGUACCACAAACUGCUUCGAUGUGGGUUCGAACGAAUUCAAAUCAAAUAUAGAACCAUAAAUUAUUUACUUACUUUUGAGUGAGAAAGCAAAAUUCUCUCUUUAAUAGAAAUUGAUAGAAUUGUUAUUUUUAAAAAAAAAUAGAAUUUAAAUUUUCGAGUCUUAAAAUUGUGUAUUUAGCUCUACUGGUGUCAUCUAUUUAUAAGGAGAAGAAGUAAAACAAUUGUUGAAUUAGUAGAAGUAUAUUUCAAUAAAUAAAUAAAAACAAAAUACUAGUUUAUCUAGGAAAGAGAAGGGCGACAACCCUAGUUAAAUAUACUAGGGUUCGUCCUAUGUAUUAAUAUAAGGGGUUUUAGGGCCUCUCCCGUAUCGGGUCUAAUUUAUAAAUGCUUGCUGAACUUUUAACUCAAUACUUUAUAAUUAAAUUCAAUCAAAUAUAUGUUUUUUUUCUAUUUUUCAAAAUAAACAUUGUAAAUUAAUUUAAAUUAUUUAAUUAAUUUCUCAAUUAAAUGAUUUUCUCAAACCGAUUCUAAUUCGCAAAAUCACGACAACUUUUAUAAUAUCCCGAAAAUUUCUACACUAAGAUAUUAUCCUUGAUUGAUAAGUAUUAUUAUAUACAAAUUCAGCUAACGGUAAAUAACGUUCCCAACCUGAUUCAAAAUCAAUGAUACAAGCUCGGAGCAUGUCUUCUAAAAUCUGAAUGACUGUUCUGACUGUCCAUCAGUCUGUAGAUGAAAAACUGUACUAAAAUGAAGUCGAGUACCGAGCGACUCAUGCAACCGUUUCCAGAACCUUGAUGUAAACCGUGGAUCCCGGUCAAAAAUUAUUGAUAUAGGAAUACCAUGUAGUCUUACAAUUUUUCGGAUAUAAGUUUCUGCCAACUUUUGAAGUGAUCAAUCUGUUCUGACUGCUAUAAAAUGAGCUGACUUUGUGAGCCGAUCAACAAUCACUCAAACAGCAUUUUUCUUACCAGUUGACAUCGGUUACCCUGUUACAAAGUCCAUCGUGAUGCAGUUCCAUUUCCAUUCAAGAAUAUUAAUAGGCUGAAGUAAUCCAGUUGGAACCUGAUAUUCAGCUUUAACUCGCUGACAUGUUAAACAUUUAGCCACGUAUUCCACUAUAUCUUUUUUCAUACCUGGCCACCAAUACAAUUCCCGUAAAUCAUGGUACAUCUUCGUUCCUCCGGGAUGUAAUGCAAAAGAACUGUCAUUGCUUCUCGAAGUAUUAACUCUUUCAACUCUGAAGUAGUUGGAAUACAAAUUCGAUUCUGAGAUCUCAAACAAUCAUGCUCAUCAAUGCUAAAAUUUUCUAUCAUAUCAUUCUGCACCAUUUCUUUCUUCUUCAUUAGCUUUUCAUCUUCUAACUGUGCUAUUCUGAUUUGAUCAAACAUUACUGGUUUUACUCUCAAUUCAGCCAAAAAACUUCUGUCAUCAAUAAUACUGAGCUGUGCAAACAUUGCUCUCAAUUUAGUUGCAGCCUUUCUACUCAAUGCGUCCGCUACCACAUUAGCUUUACCCGGAUGUUAGUCAAUAACACAAUCAUAAUCUUUUAGAAUUUUUAUCCACCGACGCUGUCUCAAAUUCAAUUCUUUCUAUGACAGAAGAUACUUGAGACUUUUUUUAUCAGUGUAGAUAUAGCAUUUCUCACCAUACAGAUAAUGUCUCCAAAUCUUUAGAGCAAAAAUCACCGCUGCUAAUUCCAGAUUAUGAGUUGGAUGAUUACGUUCAUAGGGUUUCAAUUGUCGCGAAGCAUAAGCAAUUACUCUUUCACUUUGCAUCAGUAUACACCAAGACCAUUUAAGGAAGCAUCUCUGUACACAACAAAAUCUUUUUUCGACUCCGGUAAAGUCAAUACUGGUGCUUCUGUUAACAUUUGCUUCAACGUUUUAAAACUUUUCUGACACUGCUCACUCCAAAAAAAUGAAACAUUCUUUUGUAAUAAAUUUUUCAUUGAUAAAGCUAUUUUUGAAAAUCCAUUUACAAACUUUCGAUAAUAUCCGGCCAACCCAAGGAAACUACAUACUUCUGACACAUUUCUUGGAACUUUCCACUGAAGUAUGGCUUCAAUCUUCUUUGGAUCUACUCUUAUCCCAUCUGCUGAUACUACAUGACCAAGGAAUACAACCUCCGUUAACCAAAACUCAGGCUUACUCAAUUUCUCAUAUAAUUGUUUCUCUCGCAAUAUUUGCAAAACAAUUUGGAGAUGCUGUUCAUGUUCAGUUUCAGACUUUGAAUAUACUAAAAUAUCAUCAAUAAAAACUACUACAAACUGAUCCAAGUACGGUUGAAAAAUCUGAUUCAUAAGAUCCAUAAAAGCAGCCGGAGCAUUUGUUAACCCAAAUGACAUUACCAAAAAUUCAUAAUGUCCAUACCGUGUAUGAAAUGUUGUCUUCAAUACAUCGCUCUCCUUUACCUUCAACUGAUAAUAUCUCGACCUCAAAUCAAUUUUUGAAAAUACAGAAGCUCCUUUUAGUUGAUCAAAUAAAUCAUCAAUGCGAAGUAAUGGGUAUUUAUUCUUAAUAGUUACCUUAUUCAACUGUCGAUAAUUAAUACACAACCGCAUUGAACCAUCUUUCUUUUUAACGAAUAACACUAGAGCUCCCUACGGUGAUGUACUAGGUCGUAUAAACCCCCGGUCCAAUAAGUCUUGCAGUUGUACCUUCAGCUCCUUCAACUCAGUAGGUGACAUUCGAUAUGGAUGUAUUGACACUGGAUUUGUGCCCUGGUAUACUUCAAGCACAAAUUCAAUUUCCCGAUCAGGAGGUAAUCCAGAAAAUUCUUCAGGAAACACAUCAGGAAAUUCACAUAUAGUUCAGAUUUUACUGCAUUAACUCUCAACUGAAUUGGAAUUAAUAACAUAUGCUAAGAAAGCAGCACAUCCUUGAUAAAUAAGCUUACUAGCUUUAAUUACUGAAAGAACACGAACAGUCCCACUAGUCCGAAUACCAUUUACUUCAAUCUGAUCACCACUUUCAUUCUGAACAGUGAAUUUCUUUUUAUAACAGUCCAAAAUUACUCCAAGUUCUGAUAGUCAGUUCAUGCCCAGUAUAAUAUCAAAAUCGCCAAAUGGCAUUGUAAUGACCAAUUUUGGCCUGGGCCCGUGCAAACACAAAACACCAAAAACAAAAAAACAAAACAAAAAAUACAAAAAAUAUAUAAAGCCCAACACAAUGGCCCAAUGCCCCAAAACAAGCCCAAACGACCUAAAAUUUUGGUCACUGGAAACCCUAGUAGCCUCCAACGCCGACUGCCCCCUCCAUAUCUCUGUACGCAGUACCGUACGACCUCCACGCGCCACGCACACCUACAAACAGACAAGAAAACAACAGCAAAUAGAAACAAAAAAAAAGCAAAUGGCAACAGGACAACAGCAAAUAGGAAAAAUGAAGAAAAAUUGUCAUUUUUAUUUUAUUUGUUUUGGGAUUUCGGUUAUAAAGCCAAAAACAAUGUAUUUUCGUUUUUUUUACGCAAUAUACAAAGAGGAACACAUACUGAAUAAAAAAAUAGGGGCAUUUCGAAAGCAAAUGAAAAGAGGUGACUUUUAGUCUUUAUUCCGACUUGAUUUUUAUUUUCUUUCUUCGUGUUUUUUUUAUUAUUUAGUGUAUAACAAAAAAGGAAGGAACUAACCUGUGUUUGGAAGCCUUUGAAUCUCUGCUUGUUUCGUCAUAAUCGAGACUUAGUAGCGAUUUAGAGAUUGCGAGCGAAAAUCACGAAUUGUGGUCCAAUGAAGCCUUGAUUGACCAUUGUUGGGUCGAAAGGAAAGGCAAGAGGAUCGUUAAUGGAGGGCUUGUCGAUCGGCUGAAUAUUGGAGAGAAAAGUUUGAUUUUCUUUCUCUUUUUUGAAGCGGCUAGGGGAUUUUCUUAGGGUUUAUUUUUGCUGCUAUGGGGAACAUUAGGUGACACCGUUUCAGGCUAAAAUUAAUAGCCUCAAAACAGCACUGCUUUAAAAAGGGGGUAUUUACACAAUAGGUCCUCCCCUUUUGUGCGUGCAUUUGAUUGCAUCUUGUUCGCUCUAUUUUGUUUUUUCAAUUUAGUUUGGUAAGUUGUGUUCAUUUUCAAUUAGGUCCGCGCCUCAACAAGGAUCUGGAAUAAUUCCAGUUUUAGUCCUUGUGAAUUUGCGCACAUUACGCGCCGGUCCCUAUUUUGGUUUCUUUUAUUUAUAAAUUAUCCCUUUCAUUUUUAA
rnacentral:lncRNA from 1 species